UAGAGAGAAAUAUUAAAUCGCAAGUUAAAAGACAAAGGAAGAUAAAGCUUAACGUUAAUUGAAAAUCCAUUAAUCCAGCAGCAAAAACUUGUAACUUCAUACAACAAAAGUAGUAGUAUCAAAUUACGGAAAAACAAAACUGAAGCAAACGAAACACAAAUGGAGAGGGGGGAGAGCGAAAGACUUGUGGAGUAGAGUGGUCUAUUUAGAUCGCUGUCUCAUCUUUCGUCUCUUCCUCUUUAACCUCCUCAUACGCUUCUUCUUCCACUGAACCAACAAAAAAAUAAAACCAGAUCCACAAUUAAUAAUUCUUCAUUUAGAACGGAAAUGACUAAACUUGGCUCCAAAUGGGGCAGAUGAAUCAGACAAUGAACACAGGAAGACUAGAAGAUCACAAAAUACCUUAGCUCUCAUCACUCCUUUUUGCUCAAAACCCUAAUCCUGGUGAGAGUGACAAAAGACGAUGAAAGAUCGGAUAUAUAUUCUACAAACCCUAGACAUUGAAACGAGACCAAUAUACAAGUAGGCUUUUCCUAUUGGGCUUUUAAGGCCCAUAUUAUAUUCUCCCGAAAUAAGUUUAACCCAGUUACCUCAACCUCAAGUCCACCGUAUCUUAAGUAAACUCUCAUUCUUCAUUUCUAAAGUUCCGGCUUAAACCCCGACGAUGUCUCUUCUCCGGCGAUUCGUUAAAAAGGCAAACGAUUACAGAUUCCUCCUUCAAUCGAACUCUGGACGUUCAUUCUCUACCGUAAAUCCCAAUCCAUUUGCUUCACCUGGUCGUCGCACUACCGCCGAAUUCGAUAACCUCAUCUACGAAGCCGGGAACUCCGGCGACUUCGAAGCGGUACGCCGUCUGCUCAACACCCGCGUCGUAAACGCUUGUUUCAACACAAGCGCAACAUUCAAAUUCCUAACAAACACCGACUCUUACGCCCCCUCCUUAGAAGAUCUCCGCCGUAUUUUGCCUCAGACCGACGCCGGCUACACGCGUAAACAUGCUUACGAAACUCUCAUCGCGCGCCUCUGCAAACUGAACCGGAUCGACGAUGCUCUGAUCCUGAUUAACGAUAUGGCGAUCGGAAAAUUCGAACUCUCAACCUCCACAUUUCAUCCGAUAUUAAACACGCUCACGAAGAAGAACAAGAUCGAGAAAGCUUGGCGCGUGGUGGAAUUGAUGAGAUCUCAAGAGCUUUCGAUGGACGUGACGUCAUACAAUUACUUUUUAACUUCGCAUUGUUACGACGGCGACGUGGCGGAGGCGAGCAAGGUGUUGAGGAAGAUGGAGGAAGAAGAGGGAAGGGUUAUGUCACCGGACACGCGUACUUACGACGCGCUUGUGUUAGGCGCGUGUAAAUCGGGGAAGGUGGAAGCGGCAAUGGCGAUACUGAGGAGGAUGGAUGAACAGGGGUUGCCGGUACUGUACGCCACGCAUGCGCACGUUAUUGGAGUGAUGGUGGAGAGUGGCUAUUAUACGCUGAGCGUUGAGUUUGUGAUGGCGUACGCCGGGAAAGAUAAGAGAUUGGAUGAAGAGAACUUGGGGAGUUUGGCUAGCAAGCUUAUCAAGAGGAAGAGGUUUAAUGAAGCUAAGUUGGUUUUGAAGGAGAUGAGUGUUAGAGGAUUGAGGAUGGGUGAUGCUUUACGUGGUUUUUAUGAGACCAAUGUGAUAAAGUCCUGAUUUUGAUUCUAUUAGAAGAUGAUCACCAUUUUUACAGAGAGCAAAACUCGAGUGAUACAGAAAAAAAUUGAACUUCUUACAGAAGGUAAAUGUAAUAAAGAGAGUGUAAGUGUAGCUGUGUAGAAAUGAGCUUUUUGCAAAAUAUCUCAUCCGGAAGCUAAAGGUCCAUGAUUAUACAAAUGAAUCUGUAUGUAUUUGUGGCUUCAAGUUGAAGAGUUCCUGUGCAAGUAUGAAUUUAUGGAUUUUACUGUUCUUAAGCUUUUUACAUGAAGGAGAACUUAUCAGAUAAGAUGGUGAACUGUUUUGUUUAAUUUACAAAGGAGCAACAUUUACAGCAACGUACACGUCUCUAGUUUUAUUUUCAAGGACAAAGAGAGGUUAUUUACUUUUUCUACUUUUUUUGGGGGGGAAUGAGUUAGUUUUGUGCAACCUCUACUUGUUGAAGAUGAAUGUGUGAUCCAUUCAGCUGAUAGUCCCAAUACCAGCUUCCUGUUUCCAAUACCUCUUCUUUCAUUGCUUCUAAGUUGAUGCUUAAACCUAAAUCCAACACCAAAUAAUGCAAUCAAUCCAUACUAGUGUCAAAUUAGUUUGGUUUCUUAUCUGUUCUAGCUUUUUAUAAGAUUCACUGACCUGCAUUUCCUUGCGUAAUCUUCAGUAUGUGACCAUCCGGUACUUCAAAAACAUGGUUUCCCUGCAAAAAGAAUAUAGAUCAAUUGGUUUGAAGCAGACACUCUAAUCCAUGACAAACUUCCGUGCUACUUUACUUUACCUCUACAGUUACAUUGCUAGCUUCGAAUUCUGCAUUUCCGUGCAAUAUGAUUUUACAUGUUUCAAGCCGGUUCACAUCGUUUCUCCAGUAAACAUUUGAUUUACUGUUCCAAUCGAUUCCUCGGUUCACUACCUUGACGUUAUGCAGUUUACACUUGCCACACCUACAAAUCAAGUUUUAUGUGUGAAUUCACAAAUGCAAACAGAUAGACAUGUAUCUCACAGAGAUAAUCUAAUCUAGUACAUGAUUCUUUUCUACCUUAAUCCGUAUUGUAAUAUUUGUUCACCAUGAUCAUUGAUAGUUGUUGAACCCAUGGCAUUUUCAGCAGUGACGAUCAAGCUACCAUCAACCUAUAGGGAGAGAAGGUGACUUAGAAUUUAAGUAACUCAGCGCGAUGGAAGCUAUGCGAAAUCUUGUUGGCAGAAUAAAGAUAUUGAGAACCUGAACAUUGUUCCAUGACAACUCUGCAAUCUCGAGUUGCACUUCUGAGCAACUGGAAAUGGACCCUCCCAUGAACUGUUACGACGAUCAGAUAAGAUUCAUCAUAAUAAACCAUUUGUUAGACUUUCUCAACCAGGAAAAAAAAUCAGACUAUUGACUUACUUUUUGUCUUGAAACCUCCCAAAGAGGACCGAGAGCAGGAUGCAGAAGAAUGAGAUACGGAGGUGGGGAAUCCACAUAGUUAUCAUUAGGUUGAAUCUGGAGAAGUAGAAUGAAUUAGUUAACUCUCAGUUUGAAGUUGUUACUGAUAAGAUUAACACUGGCAUGUAACAUAUCUUCAUGGGUCUGAAAUAUCAGUAGUAAUUAAAACAAGUCAUAUAAAAUAUAUGUAUCUAUGAACUUACCAUGGGAAGUUUAAUAUCACAUUCUGUAAGGAGCUCAUAUGCAUUGCGUAGUAUAUCCAACAAUGCACCAUCUGGAGUCUGUAAAGAAAGAGAUCAGUCUCAAAAUUAGUUAAACUCUGAAUAUAAUUCAAUUGAUACCAAAAGAAUGCAAUGGUAUAAGAAAUAUUACCUGGUGCAAAGCAGCACUUGCGUGUGGUUUCUUCUUCUUAGCUGAAGAGGUGACCUUUCUUCGUUCAUUGUAAACAAUAUACGUAUCCAGUUUAUCUAGUAAGAUAAAAUUAAGAGUUAGUGAUACCUAAAGACAGAUACAUUAAACAUUGCAAGACAGAUACAUCGAAUAAAUUUACCUUCUAGAUUGCCCUGGCAUCUAGAUGGAAACUUAUUUAAGAAAUUGUCUGCUAUGUUUUGCAUUGUGCAUUCCAGUCGACCACCCAAAACGCUGUCCAGUAAGUAAAGUAAUAAAAAAAUUGCUAACAAUUAAAGAAGAAACUCCUAAAAUUUAUCUAAAGUAGACAUUUCAAACUAAGAGAGUGACUGUUGAUUCCAUACAGAAAAAAAAAAAAAACAGGAAUCAGUAUGAAUUCCAUUUUAGCUAUAAGCAGCAGUUACGAUUUGACUGAGGCAUCUAGAUAGAAACAAAGAAUCACAAUAAGAAUUGUGACCUAUAACAAGGGAACAGAAGAUCAAUAUUAGGAAAUACAAACCUGUGAUAGUCUCCAUACUGAUCAAUGUACUCAAUUCGCUUCUUUGUAUUAAGAACCAUAUUUGGCAAACUUUUUGCAUUACGGCUCGACCCAAUUGACUCGGCAGAAUGUAAGUCAACAUAUAGAAUGUUUGUAUUGGCAGGGAAAUCCGCCUGCAAACUUCAGAAGUAAAAAAGAAUAAUGAUUUAAUCUUGCAGUCUGAGCUGAAGAAUUAUAUAAGUAUUGAAGAAUUACACUGAUAAAAAGCACUAGAAUUUUAACCAGAGAACCAAAAAGAAUAACUAACACUAUAGACAAAUAACAAAAGAGGAGAAAAAAAUUCAACACAUUUGUCAGCUAGAAUAGAGAUACUAUGAGUCAGUUCUCGAAUAUAUGCACCUUACGCAAGAACAAACUCAAUGAUAGAAAUAUCAUACCCAUUUGAAGAAGGAGACCUGUUGGAGACUCCAAAUUUAUCAAAUUCGGUGUACUCAAUGCACGAUAUACCAUAUUCCCACUUCCCAUCAAAAUUCUUCUUCUCCAUCAAUACAUUAAUCCCUUCGGUUGCUCCAGCAUUUCUUUUACAGGAUGCAAACCCAAGUUUCUGGCACAUUAAAUAAAUCAUGGUCUGUGGGAAUCAAUCGUUUGGAAGUCCAGAAAAGAUGUUCCUUUUUCUUGAGGUAGAGAGAUGAAUACAUGGUAUAUGAUCUCAACUAGUAUGCAAGUAUACCUUAUUAUACCGUAAGCCAAUCCCAGCAAGGGCCAAGAGGGUAACAUCUGUGGCAGCCACAACAUUGCUGCAAUAUCACAAUUAUAAACACUAAAUCCAGAUAGUUCUGAGUUUAUUUUAAUGAGCAACUUCAAAAGGGUACAAGUAACUAACCUAACUUGCCGAAUGGUUGCUCCCUUUCUUCCAUGAUUAAAAAACCAUUUAAAGACACCUUUGUCAUAAGCCAAUUUCCAAAUUGCACCAUGACCACCAGGUUUACUAACUGGCACAAAGGGCUUUGAUACUAUCCAUUGACCAUCUUCAGCACUGACAGCUGGGACGAGAGGCUAGAGAUCAAAAACCACAUACCAUUGAUUAUGAGUAUUAAUACUCAAUAUGAAGUUGUUAAAUUAAAAGGUAAAAGAAAUCAGAAGAAAAUGUAUGUCUCCGAUACCUGUUCAAAGAGACGGAAACUUGAUUCACCUCUUCCAAACCAUUUGAGCCGUUUACAAAGCGAAGUUACAUGCUCAUGGUUGUUCUUUGCAGCACUUGUCAUAAUGGCAACAGGUGUGACACAUUGCUUUCCAUAAAGCUUGAAGUAAAGGAACUCUCUAGCCUAGCAAUUAACAAAAAAGAUUCAUAACAUGACUAAUGCACAAAACAACAAACAGUUGUUCAUACCUCACAUUUUCCCUUUCGUUCUUUCAAACACAGAGACACAAAGAGUCACUCUAGUAAUUAGUGAAUAUGUACCUGAAGAUCUCUAAUAAGUCCCUCCAACAAAGUUCGUCCACAAUGGGCAAGCAUUGCUGCAGGAAGGCAUUCUCCUGUUUCUGUAUCAACCAACCCUAAUCUGUCUGCUGCACCUCCUAAGGGAUAUAUUUCACCUAAGUCUGGCAAUCCCUAAUAUUAACAACAACUUAUCAUCUAGAAACCAUACACAACAAAUUCCGUAAAAGUUCAAAAGCAAUAACACAUUAGUAACCUCAAUUCCCCAUAGAGCCGCCUGCGAGGCAUACUCCUUCCUCUGAGUGAGGUCAAGGACACUUGGAGUAUGCAUUUCUAAGUACUGGCAACCCAAGGAUUCUUCAACAAGAUGUGACCGGUUAGCAUUACGCCUCUUGGUUGAUUGGUGAAGAAGCUCUAGAACCAUAACCUGAUAUCUGACACACAAUCAUGAAUGUCUCAGCAGUGAAUAUAUCCCAAGGCAUCCUCGUAAGAUUUCAUCUAAUUCCUGUACUAAACCAAGUUAAGAAUUGGUACCCGAUAAUUCCUCCAAUGCAGUCGUAGAACUGUUCAAUUUCAUCCAGAAACCUCAAGAACUUUCUAAAGCGAGCAAUCUCCUCUGCAUCUAAAACUGUACCCAUCUCUCGUCUACCUUUAUAGCCGCUACUAUUAACAUCAAAUCGCUCAAUCAUCUCAACCAACGCGUAAAGUGCGUUCUUCACCGAACUUCUCACUGUAUACUCCUCUUCUUCUUCAAAUGCUUCCCCAUAAUUCAUACAUAGCGCGUGUUCCUGCCCCGCCGCGAUCACACACUUAACGAGAAACAUGUCUUUCGAAUUCAAACCAAGUGAACCUAAAACCUUAGCUAAACCGCCUCGAUUCUCGCUGAAGAAUCGACGAACUCUGGAAUCAGCGUCGAUAACCGCGUCCUUCCGCCGUAAGUCCUUGGAAACGUCUAGUUUCGCUAGGAGAGACUUGAGCCGAUCGAUUUCGGAUAAGAAAUCGUCGGAUUCGGGAGGAGUCGGAGUGGAAUACUCAACAGGCACGGUGGACACGUGUCUCACCUGGUGGUUAUUACAUUGCUGCUCGCUCUGCGGAAACUUCGAGAACAAUGAAGAAGAAGGGAGAAAGAGCAGAGGCUUUCUGAAAUGCAGAGAGGUGAAAGAAGAAGGAGACGUAGAAGUAGCGCGGAAGUGGAAGAGAGAGACGUGAUUCUGGUAAAUAGGAGAAGCUUGAGGAUUAGCCAUGGCGGGUGAGAUGGUUACAGAAGGAGGAGGAGGAGAAGGGAGGGGUUUUGAAGAGAACCCCAAGGAGGGAUAAGGAGAUAUACUCCAAGCAUAUACCCAGAUUGCUUCUUUUACUGUACGAUUGCUUCUUUUAUUUUUUUUUGGGCUUCGUUUGCUUUUCUUUUUUUGUGGAAAAUAAAAAUUAUAUAAUCCAACCAGCUUCGAAGGAUUUGAUUGUGUAGAUGAUGUGUGAUUGUCGUGUGUUUGUAAUCUGUAAUCUGACGGCUUAGACGACACCGUUUUGGAUUACACCGAUGGGCCAUCUUCAUUUGUUCAUGUCGACUGCUCCCAACAUUUUUCAUGUUCUUUUUUUUUUUUUUUUUGUCAUCUAUGUUCUUUUUUUUUUUUUUUUUUUGUCAUCCAUGUUCUUUUUUUUUCUUUCAUUUUUAACAUAUUUUAUGACUCUCAAAGUAGUCAGUAAUUCAGUAUUGUUAUGACGUUUUCGGGUGUGUUAUCGCUUGUCAGUAUAAUUGCUACCAUUUUCAUAAAGAAUUGCCAAAUCAAAGCACAUUUGUCAAUAUUAUGUUCUUACAAGUGUGCAUAUGAAGUUAUGUUUGAUCAUUAGUUACGAUAUCUCUUUCAUGUGGUUUAGUAUUAUUAACUACGAUACCUUUGCAUGUGGUAUAUAGGAGAUGGAGUGUUAAUAUGUGUCAAAUAAUCAGCAAAUAAAUCGAUUAUUCAAUUGUGCAUUGAUUUCGAUUCUGAAUAAUGCAAUCAUGGAGUAUCAAAUUGAGAGAACCAUCUUCAACUAAAUUAUUUGAUCGAGCAAACCUUGUGAAAUAGACUUUGAUCGGUUUGCUCUAAAGAUACUUCAGAAACUGAUGAUUAAACAAUUAAAAGAACAUAGUAACUAAUUACAAACACCAUCAACAUUAUGCACACCAAAAAAGGGGUCUUACCGUGAUCUCGCAUAUGUUCUGUUUACGACAUAUAACAGCAAAUGGAUCCACUGGAUUCUUUAAGCCGUUAUAUAAACUAAGUUCCAUAGAUUUAUAUAUAUAUAUAUAUAUAGAUGAAAGCAGCCUAAAGAGAAGCAAGGAGCUUCAAAAGAGACUCAAAAAAACCUCACACAAUCGUCAUAUUAAUACUUACAGAUUUGUUGUGAAGCAAAGUAGUACUAGUCUCUUCACGCAGUUGACAGCACUUCCAGUUCUGCCCACCAGAGAGCUGAAAGUUUUGGAAUCGCAUCGUCUGGUGAUAAUCCUGUGAUCUCCCGUAAUCUCCCUGUCACUUCCUUCAUUGUCGGUCUCUGUUUCGGGUCUGCCCUUAUGCAGCUUUUGAUCACUUCGCCUAUAUUCUCAAUCUUCUCAUCAAAACUCUCCAAUGUUGGAUCCGCCAUCUCCCUUAAAGUCUUUCCUCUCAAGAAAUCAGCCAAACCAGUAUCUAUUGAGUCGCCUUUCCUAACUGACUCUGGGAGUUUUCCAGUCAUCAAUUCGAACAACAGCAACCCAAAGCUGUGAACAUUGUCUUCUUGUGUCGUUUCUGAAAUGUUUGUAUCUAUGAGUGCAUUGGUGCUGCUCUCUGUCUCUGAUGGGCCUUUUAGGUACCCGAAAUUGAAAUCUGCAAUUUUGACUGCGUAGUCCUCUGUCAGUUGAACUGAUGACGAGAGAAGACUGCUGUGGACUACAGGUGGUUUGAGCCCGUGCAUAUGGUCAAGACAAUAUGCUAUGCCCAUUGCUAUUCUUAGCCGCAUUACCCAGUCCAAGUGCUCUGACUCUUUAUCUGCAACAAAGUCAUAUUGUUUCCCAUUUUUAAACUGACAACUUACAGUGUAACGACUCAUAUGACUAAGGAGCUUUUUCACUUACAGUGUAGAUGUUCAAAAACUGAUCCGUUUGAUGCAUAUUCAAAGACCAAGAUCCUAGUGAAAGGUGCAUCUUCUUCACAGUAACCAAGAAGGUUGACAAAAUUCUUGUGGUUUAUCUUGGAUAACAUUUCGAUCUGAAAUGAUCCAAAACAUAAACGAUAAGGCAAAUAUGAACCAAAAUCCAUUUAAAUAUAAGGGAACUGGCUGACUGGAAAUACCUUCUUUCUGAACUGCAUUUCGAUGUUAUUAGUCCAUUCUUUGGCAGACGCGGUAGCAACAGAAGCCACAGCUAUUUCCACCCCACUAGAUAGUGUCCCUUUGAACAAAGUGCCAAUGGGACAAGACCCAAUGACAUUACUGAAUUCUUCACAGGCAGCUUCAAUCUCAGAUCUUUUGAGUUUGGGGACACCUGAGUAACCAAAUGGCACACAUCAUUAAUAUGGAAACCAAAAGAAAAUGGACAAGCACGUCAAUUAAACCUCAAACUUCCAGAAAUAAAAAUGACACUUAGUAAGACACUAAGACUGUAAGAGCGAGUAGAAAGGCAAUUACCAGUUAUGAACACUUUCUGAAGCUGUCCACUAAGACCUGUACGCCAAGGAUUCACAGAUUUCCCAGCCUUACUCUUGAAAAAGAAGACACCAGUUGCUAAAAGGAGGAUAAACACAGCACCGCCUAAGCAGCCAGCCACUAUAGGAACCGUGUUGUUUGAAGAAUUUUUGGAGCUUCCUCUUAGGAUAGGAAAAUUCAAAUGGGGCACAAGAGGAGGUGGAGCAGAAACAUGUAGUGCAGGAGAACUUUUUGGCGGUGGAGGCAACGUUGAGGCUUUAGUAGCUUUAGUUCUCGGAGAAGAUGACGGAGAUGUAGCUCUUGCCACAGGGCGGUUCUUGUAGCUAUUCAAAUGGGUGUACGGGUUACGAAAACGGCCAAGUAAUUUCCUGUGAAAACCAACUGCUCUCCUACAAAAAGGUCAAAAGGCAAAAUGAUAUUUGAGUACACAGGAGAGCAAACAGAUACAUGUUUCUAAUUCAAAUGGAAUAAACGAGUGUGCCAGAGCACAGUCAAAGUAAAAUCAGCAAGUCUUAGUAUAAAAAUGCGUAAAACACAGUGUCGGUCUUCAUGUAGUACUACUCAAGAAAUAGUAUUAGUUCACUCAAAAGAAAAAAACUAAAAAGUAAGCAUGGUGUUAAAAAAAGUCAUAGAUCUACAAAAACCAGCUACAUUGAUGUUGAUGUUCAACCAAAAUUCAUGUUCAAAUCAUGUUCGCAAAAACUAUUCAUUCUACAUUGAACAAUCAACUUAAUAGUGGCUAAAACACUAGAUCUUACAUAGCAAGCUCAGAAACCUAAUCUGCACAAGUAUAAAAACACCUCAUGUAAAGCGCAAGCAUCAAGUUAUAAAUCUAAAAAUCAUCAACGAAGAGGUCUUAUCCAAAAAUACUUAAAACUUACUAAAUCAAUCCAGCUGCGUUAACAAACUAAAAAAAAAAAAAAAAAAAAAAAUCACAGAACAAAAAAAUCGAAAGCUGCUGAUACUUACAAAUCCUCGGCAUCUCCAUCUGACAACAGAUCUUUCGUCACAAAAUCCAGAUAACCCACACCUGAAAAGCCAAAAUCGAAACAGCAAUCAUCAGCAACUUGCUUCUAUUUACCGGCGGCAAUCAAAAGAAAAAGUGAGAGAGAAUCAAAAACUAGUAAAUAUACCAUGAGAUGUCAACGAAAAGCAAGAACCGAAGCUCAAAAUCACCAGAAGAAACAGGAGAGUACGAUUUGGAAGAGUUAAUCGAACAAAUUUCCAGUUAUCACUCAUUGUGAGAAGACGACAAGUGGAAGCAGGAAGCUAAUCAACGACACCGGAAGCUGGAAAUACCAAAGGCUCGAUUUGAAUCUGAUACGGCUAGAUUGGAAGAUGAAGAACAAAAAGAAAUCAAAAAGUUAAGCUAAAAGAAGAAGAAGAAGGAAGAGAGAGAGAGGUUUAGAGUUUUGAGUUCGCAUGGCGGAGGAGACGAUUAGAAAGAAGAACAUGACUUUUCAACUUUAGAGUUUUUUUUUAAUUUUAAAGCGCGUGUCCCCGUGGUUUGGCCCCGAUAAUAAAUUAAAAAGUAUACAGAGACUCUCAGAGAGAGUAGUAAAUUUAAAUAAAUAAAAGGCAAUAACUUCUUCUUGUUGACAAAAUAAAUAAUUAAACAAUAACGUACAUUUAUUUUCUUUUAUGAGAAUUGAACGUAUAAUAAUAUUCAACUGUAUAAAUAAGGAAGAAGAAGAGAGUAACACAGUUUUAGCAUAACAUGUAGAAAAGAUAGAAGAAAUCUAAAACCAAUGGACGUGAAGAUGCCAGAGUUCAAAAAAGGUAUCCAAAAGAAAGAGGCCAAAGCCACCGGUCACCACCACCGUCGAUAAAGACUUGUUUUGAUGUUAGCAGCCCUUUUCUGUGGAAUAUGGUUUAUAGUAAAAAACAUAAAACAAUGGUGGUGGUGGGAGGAUAUAUACGCCACGUGGAUUUAUUUUGUUGUAAUCAUGUGUUGGAUAGUGGAAUGAUUGAAGUUGAAUGAUUGUGUUUUUUUUUUUCUGUUAUUGUUAUUAUCAAUUUAUCAUUACGGGAUUAAGAAAAUUAUAAUGAUAAUUUUUUUUCUUUUUUUUUUUCUUCUGAUGACUGAUUCAACGUGGAGGUUUUUUUCUUUUUUUUGGUAUUAUGUUGGCUUAGCUGUUGUUAAAAUUCAUUCGUUUUCAAUCCAACUCUUUGCCAUGUGGUCAUGGUCAUGGAUGUAAUGGGUGUGUAUCGCGUACGCCCCAAUUUUAUUUUUGCUGGCGCUAAAUUCGUUUAUAUAUUCUCAGAUUUUUUAGGGUAUGGAGAAGUGUUCCAUAAUUGUUGUUAUUGACACACCGCCCACGUUUUGUGGUGUUUAUCCCAUUCAAAGAGACACAAAGAAGUGUUCCAUAAUCAAUCUAUCUCUAUUCUUCCACGAUCUCUUGUCGAUCAUAUAUAUAUAAAGUACCCAUAUUGCAGCUACUACCUGAUUUUAUUGUUUACGGGCCUAAUGCUAAUGAGCAGAAGAUGAAAUGUUCUUGAUUCAACAUUAACAUAACCAUACAUAUAUGUUCCGAUGAGAUCAAUCCAAACACACAUGUUCCGACAAACACUCAAAAUUCAUUUUGGAAAUUUGGAACUUUUGAGUCUAAUCAUAAUGUCCAAGUCCGACCAUACCUUUUGAUAUGAUCUACAUCCAUUCUUCAGCUUAAUAUAUGCAUUUUCUUUGGUAAUCAAGUUAGACACACAAUUAAUCCAUCAGAAAAUUUUCAAAUCAAUAAAAAAUAGUUAACUCAUGAAUAAAAAGUUCGACAUAAUGUUUUUUGUUGUUGUUGUUGUUAAAUAAGAGCUUCAUUAUUGGUUGAAUGGAUCCGAAGAAAUUAAAUGGUUGACUAGUAUGUAUGUAACGGUCUCGCCGUAAUCUGAAAGCCAUCGAGUUUUUGAUUGGAGGAUGAAGCAAAAAGAGCAAAUCAAAUACUAUUAUAGAAUUUUACAAAAUUCACCGCCAUGUCUACGCGUACGUAAUCUAACUUCAUCUUUACGUAAGUUUAUGCCUUCUCUGUUUUGGUCACCUUUAUACUUAUUAGUAUUAUAGUCGUCACUUUGUUUUUUGGUCUUGCAAGUGCAUAUGCAUGCACUUUCAUGGGAAACUUUGCUUGAAGUAAUUGACAGUCAGAUAGUGCUGCGGCAUAUAUAUAAUAUAGUACUUACAAACUAAAUUUUGAUGGGCGUUAGAGUAUUAAAAAUAUAUAAUGGGAAACCUUAAAGAUCAAUGCAUUGAUUAUAUUUGUCAUUGACUUAUUAAAUGGAACAAACAAACCAUGCAUAUGGCAGCUGUCUGUGUGUGUAAAGAGGUUUCAGAACGAUCGUAUAUAAUACUAUUAUCAUAUAAUAUUAUUGUACAUUAGGACUUUAAUUAGGACCAUAUAUAAUUAAGAAAAAAUAUUACAAAAUAAGAUCUGAAAACUUUGAAUAGUAUGUAUAAAACUAAUUGAAGCUGCAAUCACAUGUUAGCGUACAUAUGCAUGUUAUAUUGUUUAUUUUUGCGUCAGAUUCUAUAUAUAUUUUAAAUUAUAUGUUUAACUCUUAAUUAUUAUACGAUUCUUUCAAAACCUCUCACAUGUUCUAUAGUAAUUUCUAUGAUGAACCAAUUCUAAAAUUCAUAGAUAUCUAAUUAAGAUCAUAUAUAUGAACAAGUGUACAUAUAUAACUGGUCACUAAUGAGAAAGAUCUCUUCUUGCAUAAGUAUAUUUGUAAUUAUCGAGCUCAUCGCUUCAUUUUUUACUUUCUUCCAUGGAUUAUCUUAUUGAGAACUUCUACAAUUCGAUUUUUGUUGUUUCUUCUUCAUUUCCCUGAGAAGCCGCCCUCUCUCGGAGAAUCUUCUGCCCCAUAUACCUAUACACAUGUAUUAGAACUCUCCCAUAAUUAUGUCUAAUAUAAAAACUUUUUAAUUUGGAUAAUUUGUUUCAUUUGGUUUAUGCGUGUAAGUACCUUCCGAGCAUCAUGAUCGUGGCUUGAGGAUUAGUCCCCGGGGUCUUAAGAAAUGUGGAUGCAUCAAUGACCCUCAAACCAUCAAUCCCUAAUACUUUGUAAUCAUUGUCCACCACUUUUCCAACUUGACAACCUCCAUGGUAAUGAUAAAGAGUCAUCACUGUGUCUUUACAAAACUGUUUCAAGUCGAACGUCGAGGUUAUGUGUCUUGGCCUCAAAUUGUUGGGAAGGAGAAGAAUGAGAUCCAACAGUCCACGUCCGGUCACUCCAGGGAAUUUAUACUUGGAGUAUCCCUUCGAAUCUAUCACUUUAAUCAACGCACUAAGUCCUUUAACACAAUUGUUCAAAUCCUCUGGCUCUUGGUAGUAGUUGAAUGUCACUGAAGGAUUAUCAUCUGGAUUCGUGUUCCGCAGCUCCAAGUGACCUCGCGAGAGCGGUCCAUAUACUUUCAUAACCAUCCCACCCGCUUGUGCCGUCACGUUGAAUCGAAAGUCCAAAGAUUUGAAAAAGUUCGAGAGGGUUUUGGUAGGGAGUUUUAUCUGCAUAAACAUCAUACAAAACUAACCUUUAAUUAGUCUUCUGAAUUAAUAAUAGUUUUAUAUAAUGUUGAAUGAGUGAUCUUAAUUGAUGAUUAUAUUUAUACCUCAUUGAGAAGAUUUAGAACACCAUUAAAGAAGCUAUGGGUCAAACUAAUAGAGAGACUUAACCCACUUAAACCUUCAAUAUAACUACCAAAAUGUGGGAUUCCCGCGAUUUGGACAAGGGACACUUCUACAGGUUUAGGUGAAAGGACUAAAACAGGGUUCAUGGGGUUAUCACCCAUUCCUUUUCCCACCAUGGGGUGAUCUAGGAUAAUUGGAUUCACUCCAUGGGCUGCAAGAUGGGAUCUUGGACCUACACCACUCAACAUCAAUAGUUGCGGGCUUGCGAUUGCACCCGCUGAUAAGAUCACCUCGUUCAUUGCGUCCUGAUCCACUAGUUUGGCUGUGUGGAACACUCCGUUUGCAUCUCGGAAUAUGACCCCUUUGGCUUUAGGCUUUGGACUUUCUGUACAAAAACAAAGUUGGUCAUAUAUAUCCGAAUCAUAGGAAAAGAACAAUGUGUGUUCGAAUGACUGAUCAGACGGAUGACAACGACCAAACCGACCGCCAAACUUAUAUGAUACACUAUAUUACUUGGAAACAACAAAACCAAAUUAACGAACUAUUCAUAUCAAGACCUAAAAGUCUGUAUAUAAUAUUAUAAUCUAAAUAUCUAGUUUAUUUUAAUUAAUAAGUUGUUAAAAAAAAAAUUUAUAUACAAUUAUUAGAAUUAUCUAUUUUUAUUAUAAUUUAAUCAAAUAUAGAAAUAGCACAUUCUAUGUUAUAAAUAGCAAAAUAGUUUCGAGAUAUUUUUUGAAUGUAUAAUAUUUUCUGGUAGUAAAUUUGGUUACGUGUAACAUAAGUCUCUCACACACACUCUCAAUUAAUCUCUCUCGCUAUUCCUAAAUCCUAACCCUCACGAGUCAUGCCGUCUCCUUCACCAAUCCUAAACCUCCUAUUUAUGGAAACCCCAAAAAGAAAAAAAGUUUAAAUCUUGCUAAUAUAGUAUCAAUUAUCAAUCAUUUACCUUUGGUAGUGAAGAGGAUCUUAUGAACAGAAGCAUGCAAGUAGACAGCAAUCUUAUUCGGAUUAGCAUACUCCAACAAAUUCGCCGCCGUGUGUCUCCGACCAUUCUCGUCAAUGAUCGUACCGCCAAUUUUCGUACCGUAAAUAUGUUCGUAAGUAAAACCAUUGUACGGAGUGACUCCAGCUUCCAAAAGCCCGUCUCUAAACGCCGAUUGCCAUCCCUUAACCUUGGGCUGGAACACCACUUUCUUCUCGACCCACUCGUAAGCCGCUUCGACCUCGUCACUGUCCCAUCCUGCUUCCGCCACGAAGUCAUCUUCAGCACGCGAGUAGAACCCCGCGUUUAUCACCGUGCCUCCGCCGAGAACGCGAGCGCGUGAGUUGAAUACACCGUCUUGGGAGAUGAAUAGCUGCGUCCAAGAGUUUGGAGUUAUGUUCAAGAGUGUGUUUACGAAGUUGUUGAUGUCUGUGGCCGUUGGGUUGUCGUAAGGGGAACCACCGCGUUCUAGUACUAAAAUGGUAGCGUUUUGAGAAAGCGUUGCGGCUAGUGCACAUCCGGCGGUUCCUCCUCCGAUGACUAUAUAGUCGAAGUGAGACAACUUUGGUGCUAUUGUUGCAUCUUUCAUAAAACUAUAAUAACCAGCUUCACGACAAUAACAAAUUUCAAAUGAAAAAAAGUUAAAAUAAGUAUAUAUACUAAGAAAUAACCUUUAAGUUCAUUAAAUUGAAUGUGUAGUGAAGAAAAUUAGUAAUCGUACCUUUAUCGGAAUAACACGAGUCGUGGAAGAUGAAAACUGCGACGACAACAAAACAAAAUAAUCGGAAUAUAUAAAAUUCCAUGAUUAUUAUAUACUAUAAAUCUGACCUCUUCAAAAAAAAUUGGAUUAUAUAUUUAGGGCAUAGAAGAGUAGAACUCAUCUGGUUUAUAUAAUGUCUAGAAGGAUACGAUACGAUUCUUUUGUAGAGAGCCGUAUAUGAAACAAAAACAUUAUAUGAACCGGUUACGGCAAAGUCUUAUUCUCAUGUAAUUUUCGGCAUAUCCUUUUAAACCAUUUAUUUAUCAACACGUGUGAAAAACGAUCUAGGAUUCGAAAGGCAUCAUCGUAUUUAUCUUGUCUUUUCGUAGAAAAAUAUGAUGUCUUUCAUGAGAUCCCUUUUAUAUAUGUGACAAAUUCUUAUUACAUAAAUUUUUAUAUGCGGUUCCUUUCAAAAGAAAAAGAAAAACAUUACGACUGUGGCGCUGGGUGAGAAUUAGAAAUUCCCACUUCUAAAUACAAAUUUUAGAGAAAUAAAGAAAAUUUUUGCCCAAAAAAAAAAAGAGAAAUAAAGAAAAUUAAUAUUAUCUUUUACAGAGAGAGACAAAUUUCACAUUAGAAAAAAAAAAAGUAAUUUGACAACAAAGAAAUUAUAUAUUGGUGGUGAGCCGAAGAGGAAAGGGCGUUUGGUUCAUUAUAUUAAUAAACUCAUACGUUACCAAACUGAGAGAUUUGAGUAUCCACUUUGUUUACCAAAAAAAUAAAAUUAAUCAGCGACCUCAUUUUGUUUUCUGGUCAUACUAUUACAAAAUGUAAUAUUAGACAUUAAUGUUCAUUCUUUUUCCGAACAAAAUAAUUUAGAAUAAUAAGCCAAAAGUAUCUGUAAUCCUGUUUUUGUUAGGACUAAAGAUAUGGCACACUCAAAAUCCCAUGAAGAGGAUUGUCAUACAUCUUUCAUUGGAGAAAGCAACAAUCCCCAAAUAAGGAGAUUUUUUUUGAGAAUAUAUAUUUCAAAUCUCAAGUAAUUUUUAUUAACUUUUUAUAUAUUUAAUUUAUAUGGAUUCUUUGAUUAUUUUUACAACUCGGUUUUAACUGUUUCUUCUUGUUGUUUUUCUCGGAUAACAGUCCUCUCUCGAAGAAUCUUCUGCCCCAUAUACCUACACAUAUUAUAACUCUUCAACAAUCAUAUUUAGAAAACAUUUAUGUUGGAUCAUAAAACAUCAAUGCGUUUAUUACCUUCCCAUCAUCAUGAUCGUGGCCUGGGGAUUAGUCCCUGGAGACUUGAGAAACGUGGAUCCAUCGAUGACCCUCAAAGCAUCAAUCCCUAAUACUUUGUAAUCCUCGUCGACCACUUUCCCAACUUGACAACCUCCAUGGUAAUGAUAAAUAGUCAUCACAGUAUCUUUACAAUACUGUUUCAAAUCGAACGCCGAGGUUAUGUGUCUUUGCCUCAGAUUGGUUGGAAUGGUAAGGAUGAAAUCCAGUAGUCCCCGUGAACUCACUCCAUCGUACGUGUACUUGGAGUACCCCUUGGAAUCGAUCACUUUCAUAAUGGUACUAAGUCCUUCAACACACUUGUUCAAAUCCUCGGGAUCUUGAUAGUAGUUGAAUGUCACUGAAGGGUUAUCAUCUGGGUCCGUGUUCCGCAACUCCAAGUGACCUCUCGAGUGCGGUCCAUUCGUUUUCUGGAUAAUCACACCCGCUUGUGUCGUCACGUUCAAGCUAAGAUCCAAAGAGUCUAAAAACUUUGAGAUAGAGUGUGUAGGAAGUUUCAUCUGCAUUUAAAACAAAAAAAACAAGUCAUGUGUGUUUUAUGACAAUUUCAUAGCAUUUUAGUGCAUUAAUAAUUGGUAAUACCAUUUUAACAAGUUUCAGAACAGCAUCGAAGAAGCUACCGGUGAGACGAAGAGAGAGACUUAACCCACUUCCACCUUCAAUGUAACUUCCAGACUUGGUGAUCCCAACGGCUUGUACAAGGGACACUUCAACGGGUUCAGGAGAAGGGAUCAAAACGGGGUUCAUCGGGUUAUCAGCCAUCCCUUGUCCCACCAUGGGGUGAUCUACGAUGACCGGAUUCACCCCAUAAGCUGUGAGAUGGGCCUUAGGACCUACACCACUUAGCAUCAAUAGUUGUGGGCUCCCAAUGGCACCAGCUGAUAAGAUCACUUCAUUCGUUGAGUCUUGCGUUGCCAAUUCUGACUUGUGGACCACUCCAUUUGAAUCUUGAAAUAUCACCCCAAAUGCUCUUGGCCUCUGGUUCCCUAUCGAUUACAGUAUUUUCAUAUCCGGAGCAAUAACAAUAAUUGGGGUACGGUACUGUUCAAUGACAUACGACUGAUAACAACCAAACGAUCGCAAUAAUUGACUCAUAAACCAACAGCUGAUGAAUAGUCAGAGUAUUUAAUAUGUUAACAUAAGAAAAAUGACUGUUAUGCUUUGAUAUUUUGUGUUAAAAACAAAAUUUUUAACUAACGAAUAAACAAGAAAUCCAUAAAUACCAAAAAACUGUCGAAAAAUAUAAGUACUGUAUAUCUUAUUAGUCUUAACUAAAACACAAACACUCAAUUUUGAUUACGUGUAAUCUACGUAUCCUUUACUUUUUUUUUCUCCCUGCCCUAAACCCUAACGAGUCACUCCAUCGCUUCUUCAGUCAAAACUCAUAAACCUCUUAUCAUGGAAUAAAUUAAAGACAUAUAAGUAGUUAUACCUUUGGUAGUGAAGAGGAUUUUAUGGACAGAAGCAUGCAAGAAGACAACAAUGUUAUCCGGAUUAGCAUACUCCAACAAAUUCGCCGCCGUGUGUCUAUGACCAUCCGGGUCAAAUAUGGUACCACCAAACUUGGUCCCAAUGAUAUGUCUAAACGUGAAACCAUUGUUAGGACUCACACCAGCCUCCAAAAGCCCAUCUCUAAACGCAGAUUGCCAUCCCUUAGCCGGCGGUUGGAACACCAUCUUCUUCUCGACCCAUUCAUACGCAGCUUCGACUUCGUCUCUGUCCCAUCCUGCUUCCGCCAUGAAAUCUUCUUCCCCACGGGAGUAGAAUCCCGCGUUUAUCACGGUGCCUCCUCCGAGCACGCGCGCACGUGCGUUGUAAACGCCGUCUUCCGAGACGAAGAGCUGCGACCAUGAGUUUGGUGGAAUUAUGUCCAAGAGUGUGUUUACGAAGUUCCCUAUGUCUGUAGCAGCUGGAUUGUCGUAAGGAGACCCACCGCGUUCGAGAACUAAAACGGUAGCGUCUCGAGAGAGCGUUGCGGCUAAUGCACAUCCGGCGGUUCCUCCUCCGAUGAUAAUGUAGUCGAAGUGUGACAACUUUGGUGCUGAUGUUGCAUCUUUCAUAAAUCUAUAGUUUCCAGCUUCACGAUAACCAAAAUUUUCAGAAAGUUUGGAAUUGAUUUUAGUAACAGUAUGCUAAGAUAAACCGGAAAAAAAAAAUCAUAAAUUGAAUGAGUUAGUAAUGGGAAUUAACUAAUUAUUAUACCUUCAUCGGAAUAACACGAUGAGUCGUGGAAGAUGAAAACUGUGACGAUUAUCAAAUGAAAUAGUGGGAAAAUCUUUAUAACCAUUAUAGUGUAAAGGUUUAUAGUGUAAAGGUUAUUUAUUUGUUAUUUUGUUCUUUUAUUUUAUUUUUGAGGCAAAACUCAGUGGAGUUUUUAUAGACAAUUAAAUCACAAGAGAAUGAGCUAUCUCAUACUUUUCAAGACAAAGUCUUAUUCGAUGGUGGCCUAGCUUCAGCAGCCACUAAAUUUGCUGGCACAUUUAGGUCCAUAGACUAUAGUAUUAUUCUACUACUAUAUCUUCCAUGUUAGAUUUUGAUUUUAUAUAACAAUUAAUAUAUAUUGAUAGUGUUAUCCCCACGGUCCUUGUCAUACACAUUUUUCUUGCAUGUACAUAUUUUUUUUUUCCUCAACCAUACAUCAUAAUAAAAAGAUCAUUUAUUUUUCAAUAUAACAACAAACCAAAGAGAUUUGAUAAUCAGAUCCAUGUACAAAUAAUGAUCAGACUGCUUGUUAUCAUUGUCCAUAUUUAAAGAGGACCUAAAUUGUCAAAGUGAAAAUAAAUAAACUAUUUUUUCUUAAUAAUGAAACUUUUAUUCAUGCAAUUAUUCUAGGUCUUGUUCACAAUUACUAUACAUAAGUAACGUUUCAAAAUCAGAAUUGUUGAAAUCAUACUUGUGCAGAAGUAAUCCGUAAUUAACUAUGUCAUGGAAGAAAAUUGAAUAUGAAGGUCAAUAGCAAAAUUGCCUUACACCUCAUUUGGAGACUCAUUGCAAUGUCGAGACAAUGAACUUAUAAGGAUAAAGUAGGCACAUAUUUUCAAUAAUUAUUAUGUAUAUGUAUUCAACAUAUACUUUACAACGUAGAAGACAAUUAAUCUAGUUACAUCAUAAAACGCUCUUACAAGAUUCAUACAUGUAUGUCUUCAGAGCAUUUUCUAUUUGGACGAUGAAGGGGACUGUCUCAUCUGUCAUGACAAGAUUUAAUUUAAAAUCUCAUGUUUCUUCUUCUUUUCCAUGGAAAGCCGUUACGUUCUCUCUCGAAGAAUUUUCUGACCCAUGUACCUACACAUUACAAUUGUCCAACGUAAACUUUAAAACAUGUUAAAUCAUUUGUAUGUGUUUGCAUGCGUUUACCUUCCCAGCAUCAUGAUCGUGGCCUGGGGAUUAGUCCCUGGAGACUUGAGAAACGUGGAUCCAUCGAUGACCCUCAAAGCAUCAAUCCCUAAUACUUUGUAAUCGUUGUCGACCACUUUCCCAACUUGACAACCUCCAUGGUAAUGAUAUAUAGUCAUCACGGUAUCUUUACAAUACUGUUUCAAAUCGAACGCCGAGGUUAUGUGUCUUGGCCUCAGAUUGGUGGGAAGGGCAAGUAUGAGAUUCAAUAAUCCACGCCCACUCGAUCCAGGGUACUUGUACUUGGAGUACCCUUUCGAUUCUAUCACUUUGAUAAUGGUAUUAAAUCCUUCAACACACUUGUUCAGAUCCUCCGGGUCUUGGUAGUAGUUGAAUGUUACUGAAGGGUUGUCAUCUGGAUCUGUAUUUCGCAACUCCAAGUGACCUCUCGAUAGAGGUCCAUUCACUUUUUGGAUUAUCACACCAGCUUUUGUAGUCACCUUCAAACGAAGAUCCAAAGAUUCAAAAAGCUUUGAGAUGGGUUGCAUAGGAAGUUUCGUCUGCAUAAAGAAAAAUAGCAUAUUAUUUAGCCACGUCGAUCUUAUAACAAUUUCUUAGUGUAUUAAUUAUAUUGAUUAUACCUUUUUAACAAGAUUCAAAACAGCAUCUAAGAAGCUACGGGUCAAACUAAUAGAGAGACUUAACCCACUUCCACCUUCAAUAUAACUGCCAAAUUUGGUGAUCCCAACGGCUUGUACAAGAGACACUUCUACGGGUUCAGGGGAAGGGAUGAACACAGGGUGCAUUGGGUUAUCAGCCAUCCCUUGUCCUACCAUGGGGUGAUCUACGAUGACUGGAUUCACCCCAUGUGCUGUGAGAUGGGCUGCAGGGCCGACACCACUCAGCAUCAGUAGCUGCGGGCUGGCGAUCGCCCCAGCUGACAAGAUCACCUCAUUCAUUAUUGAGUCUUGCGUUGCCAAUUCUGCCGUGUGGUACACUCCACCUGCAUCCUGAAAUAUCACCCCAUAUGCUUUGGGCCUCUCAUUACCUGUCCAAUUUAUGUUAAACUUAAAUAUUAUAACUAUUCACAUAACAAUAUAUCAUUACUACGAAUAGUAUAUAAACAAAAAUCAUAAUACUUAAGCAAGUGUUUCAACUUUCAACUAACAAACACAAGUUGUGAUUAAAAUAAUCACAUGUAAGCUACGUACGUCUCUUUUUUAUUGGUUUUUUGUUGUUUGUCAGCUCUCUCGCUUCCUUGUAUUUAAUAAACAUCUGCUUAUGGAAAAAACAAAGACAUGUCUAUGACUUCGUUAUCAAUCAAUAGUCAAUAUACCUUUAAUAGUGAAGAGGAUCUUAUGGACAGAAGCAUGCAAGUAGACAACAAUGUUAUCCGGAUUAGCAUACUCCAACAAAUUCGCCGCCGUGUGUCUAUGACCAUCCGGGUCAAAUAUGAUACCACUAAAUUUGGUGCCAACGAUAUGUUCGUACGUGAAACCAUUAUUAGGAGUCACUCCAGCCUCUAAAAGCCCAUCUCGAAACGCAGAUUGCCAUCCCUUAACCUGCGGCUCGAAAACCACUUUCUUCUCGACCCACUCGUAAGCCGCUUCGACCUCGGCUCUCUCCAAACCUGCUUCCGCCACGAACUCUUCUUCCGCACGCGAGUAGAACCCCGCGUUUAUGACGGUACCUCCACCGAGCACGCGUGCGCGUGAGUUGUAUACGCCGUCUUGGGAGAUGAACAGCUGCGACCAUGAGUUUGGAGUUGUGUCCAAGAGUGUGUUUACGAAGUUCCCGAUGUCUGUCGCGGUUGGGUUGUCGUAAGGGGAACCGCCGCGUUCGAAAACUAAUACUGUAGCGUUUUGAGAGAGCGUUGCGGCUAAUGCACAUCCGGCGGUUCCUCCUCCGAUGACUAUAUAGUCGAAGUGAGACAACUUUGGUGCUAAUGUUGCGUCUUUCAUAAAACUAUACUUUCCAGCUAUUUGCAUAAAAUUUGGAGGUCAAAUUAGUAUACUAGGCUAUAACCGGAAAAUAAUAAGAAUAAGUUGAAUGGUUUGGUAAAAGGAACCUAACAAUUGUACCUUCAUCGGAGUAACACGAGUCGUGGAAGAAGAAAACUGCGACGAGAAUACAACGAAGUAACCGGAAAUUAUGAAAAUCCAUUACAGAGCAAAUAUUAUGUUUGUUGAAGUUGUAUAAGAAAGACUAUAUAUUUGUUUGUUUGGUUAUUUCUCUUUUGGGGUCAAGAAAGAAAAAUGAUUAAGGUUCAUACGGUAUAUAUAAAAGGCAAAGUCUUUUGGAGUAUUUAGAGAACCAUAUCUUUCACGGUUACGGCAAAGUCUUAUUCGAUGGUGGCUGGCUUUGGCUUCUUUAUUUUCUGGCACAUUUAUCAAGUCCAAAGACUUUGAUAUUUUGACAUUAAUCAUUAUAACAUAGUGUAGUAAUUCGUAAAUACGAUAUAUAUAUUUUUUUUAAAGUACGAGAUUUUAAUUCUUAGCACACUGUUCUUAUUAUACUCGUACUUUUUGCAGCCUAUAUAAAAAGUUUGGUUUGUUGUACCUAAAAAAAAAAGUAAACUUGUCAACCAUCAUACAUUGCAAAAAAAAAAAAAUUGGAUACCAAAAAUUUGGAAGAACAAAAGUGUUUAUAAAGAUAACAUCAUCGAGUAUAAUCCAAAAAUACGAACAGAAUCAACAAAUUUUUCGAAGCAAACCGAAUUGACCUAACAUGUUUUGUUGUAAUUAUUCGUUCGUUUUCUUGUUUUUUUUUGUGUGUGUGUAUACUUUCUGCACUUUACCAUAUAUUUUUUAGAAGUGAAGAGGCUGCACAUGACCCGAUCCUUAAUGUAAGCAGACGGACCUAAUUUGUUGACUUGACAAUAAAUAUGUAUCUAUCUAAUUUCUUUUACUAAUAUUGAAGCAUAUUGACUUGUUCUCUCAUGCAAUUAGUGAUUGGCAUCGUUAUCGUGAUGAGCUACACCAAAAAGUUGAAUAUCAUUACACUUACACAUCGAUGGCAAACUGGUAGUUGGAGUUUUAAAGAAGACUGUCCAAAUGUUGGAUUGUUGGGUAUUAAAGCUGAAACUUAACCAUAAAUAGAAAAGAGAACUAAUCAAAGAGAUGUGAGAAUACUUGUUUUCAUUGGUUAAAAACAUAAUGAGCAGUUCUGUAACUUUCAAUGGAAGUCCAAGUGAAUCCUCAAUCCUAAUGAGAGUUUGGCUUAUGCAUAAGUAAUACCAAAACAUGAAACAAUUCAUCAUAAAUUGAAAAACUUGAAAACAAAACCACCAAAUGUCUCCAUAGAGAAAUUUACCACUAUUAUCAUCCAUACUACUUCCACACAUUAAUUUUAUUUUUUUUAAAGCACAGAAGGAAGAAUCACUUCCUAAGGUUCAUAUGACAUUGUCAAAACCUAACAUCACAGAUUCUAUUGACCUUGACGAUAUCUGAUGGUUUCUCAGCUAUACAGCAUGUGAUAGAACCUGUCAAGAUCAACCCAGCGUGUUUACAAACUUAUUAACUUUGAUUCUUGAGCUCACCACAAUCUUCAAUAACAACUGGUUCAGAGGUAUUUCCCCUGUCAGAUCCAACAUCUUCCAUAGCCUUCACCACAUUGUACCCAUCAACAACUUUCCCAAAAACGACGUGUUUCCCAUCGAGCCACGAUGUCUUCUCAGUGCAAAUGAAGAACUGAGACCCAUUAGUGUUGGGGCCAGAAUUAGCCAUAGACAAAAUCCCUGGACCAGUAUGCUUCAGCUUGAAGUUCUCAUCAUCAAAUUUAGAACCAUAAAUCGAUUCUCCUCCAGUUCCAUUCCCACGGGUGAAAUCUCCACCUUGGCACAUGAAUCCUGGGAUAAUACGGUGAAAGGCUGAGCCUUUGUAGUGUAAUGCCUUUCCUGCUUUCCCAAUUCCCUUCUCUCCGGUGCACAGAGCACGGAAAUUAUCCGCUGUUCUCGGUGUUACAUCAGCAAAUAGCUCCAUUACAACACGCCCUGCCUUCAUCUUUCCAAUCAAGAUGUCAAAGAAGACUUUUGGGUUCGCCAUUUCUCUCAGGUUUCACUAAUCCUGUCAAUAACAAAAGUUAUGAUUCAGCAAACUAAAGUAUGAACCAAACCAUGAAUUUGAAUUUAGCAAAUAAUGAAGACCCGUUUCAAUCGUAAGUCGUAGAUAUGACUUCUACAAAACUCUUCUUAAUUCCAACACAGUCAGACACACAACUCAAAAAGCCUCAAACAGUUCAAACAACAACAACUGUCAGAUUCAAAUGCUACUAAUGUCUGAUUUACUCAAUUCAAAAGAAUAGGGACUAAAUUGUUGAUUCAUAUAUUGAACUCUAGCCAAAAUGUAAAUCAUAACAUCAAGGAAGAAAUGUCCCACCCAUCAAAAUUGUCGAUAAGAAAGGUAAGUUCUUAUAACACAGAGAUCUUUUUCAAUCUCAAAAUGGAUGGUUUUAGAAUAUUGCACAAAUAUUGAGCUCGCAGGCGUUUUUAAUUAUACGUUAUCUGCAAGCCUUCGAUAUGUGCUUCUACGCAAUACAAUGCAAAAAAAAUUGAGAAACAAUUGGAUUAAAGUGAAGCAAAACCAUCGAAAUGAAGUACCUUCGCAGAAUGAUACUCCAGACCGUAGAUUUAACUUGGGUGAUGCGAGUGAAGAUUUUAUAUAACGGCUCAGCAGCACAAGGGAUGUGGGGGCUAGGGUUUUACCAGGGCUUUUGGAUUGUUUGAGACAGAGUGAUCUCUGUAUUUUGUCGGUUUUAUCCUCUUACUUUUCAUGUUUUACAUUCUUACCAACCCUAACAGGCUGACCAAUAAGCCCAUUUUAUGAUUUAGGCCCAUUAUCGAAACUACCGUCCAGAGUUAUAUUCAAUCGUUUCGUUAGACCCAACAGCCCAAAUUUCAUAUUGGUUUACUCUUAUAUCAACGUAUCAAAACUAAACAUGAAUCAAACAAAUUGAAGGUAAAAAAAAAAGUACUUAAAACUUGAAUUGAAAGCUUCUAGUUAAAGGACACAUUAUCACAAUAAUUUCGCCUUCAGUGUCAUUCCUAUACUUUCCAAGCCAAAAAAAUUAAGAACAUCCUCACCAAAAAAAUUCAUUGAACAACCCUAAUCGAAAAAGAAAUGAACAAGAUUCCUUAGAGAGGAUUAAAAUGUUGUGUUUACGGACGCCACGAAGACUUCACGCCAACCAGGAAUUUUCCUCUGUACACAUUUGUUGACCAUCGCAGAGAUAAUAGAAUAGGGUUUAGCUUCUUUAGAAUUUCAACGGUGUCUUGUACCACAAGAUACCCUCCUGGUCUUACUAUUCUGUCUAUUUCUACCACCACCUCCAUCAAAUCACACCUGAAAAAUAUCAAAACACAAAAAGAACAUAUACCUUUUGAUGCAAAUCUAAACACACAAAAAAACUACAAAAGCAUUCUCAGUCGAAGAAUCAUAAAUUUUACCUUUGAGAAAGAUUGGUUAGAAGGAAACUAGAGUGCAAGAGAUCAUAUGAUCUUGGAUAUGUAUUGAACGACUCACACCAAUCAUGGUAUAUCCCUAUCAAACCUCUAUCGAAAAUGGUUGGUAACGUGUCUUCACCUUCCACAGGAAUCACAUUCAUUACCCAGAGAGGUUUGUUUAUAAGAGCAGCAGCAAAUCUGAAUUAAAGCAAAUUAUAGAUGAGCCAAGAGUAAGCAAGAGAUGAUUAUUUCUUUUGUGAACUAUAUCGAAAUAUUAAAGAUUCUCUCACCCUCCAUAGCCAGCGUUCAUGUCCAUAACAUUGUGGAUCCUGCUCCAGUUUAUAGCUAAACCGUUUAGGUAGAUAUUUGAUAUAGUUCCAGCCCAGAGUUUAGUGUCUUGUUUGAAACUCUCUUCACCGCUCUGUUCUGUCAAAAGGCUAACCGGUGUCUCAGUUAACCUUCCAGGCCAUACGGAAGGCCAUUUUCUGGUUGGACCGACCGGUAGUUUUGGUAGACAGGUAAGCAGAGGAGUAUACCUGUUAUUCGAAAAAACAUGUAUUGGACCAAAAAACUCUGUUUUUUUCUCUCUUGAGAUGAAACAAAAAGUAGGAUAACAUGUCAUUACCAUGAACUGUUCUUCUUAGUCUCUUCUUUGAAACAAAGAGGCGGAUCUUUCUCCUUACGAGAUUCAUAGCAAGAAUCAGAGUCUGGUUUCUGGUAUAUCACGAAGCCAACUUUUGUGAAUCGAGUUCUAGCCACAACUUUCCAACACAUUGAUGUAGUCAAAGACUCCAUUGCUGCAGAAGAAACACACACAAAAGCACAUCAUUCAUAAACUUUUUCUGUAUUCUUAUUAAAACAUAAUCAGUAUAAGAUUAACAACACUUAAUACUAACUUUUCCAAACAUUACGGUGUUCUUCAUCGUGUUGAUAAACCGGUGUAGCUGACCAAACAAAAAACCCUCCAGGCCUUAGAACCCGGUUAAGUUCCAGAAGUGGUCUACCACCUGCAACAACAUAUUUUCAAAACAGUAUCAACAAAGCAAUGAACUUCUCUGAUUCAAAAAAUUAAGGAUAUAUAUAUAUUGAGUGUAUCAACCGUAUCCGUGCCAAUGGACUCUGCAUCUAGCGCAAUGGAUAACGUCGUAAGCAUUAUCAGGAAAAGGAAGCUUUUGAGUUCCAAUAACAGCGAGAGUAGCUGGAAUCCCUCGUUCUAGUGCGAACUGAAUCUGAGCUUCGUGUUCGUCUUUAGGAGCAAAUGACAUUGUGAUCACGUUUUUAUCAAGCAAAGUCCCACCAAAGCUUGCCACACCACAACCAACAUCAAGAACCACUCUUACUUUCUUCCCCCAAUCAAGAACAUGUAACGUCUGUAAAAAGAAAACCGUAACUUAGUAAACAGAAUCAGUGUCUUGGUUAUGUAUUAUAUGUUUUAAACCUUUUGAAUGAAGUUGAUGUAGUGAAUAACACCGUCUUUGAAUUGAGUUCCUCCUCCAGGGAAGACAAAGAAAGGUCCGGAUUUGCGCACCCAAUUCUGAUCUUUCUUGUAUUCUACAAGCUUCGGGUGAGGAACAUUGUCAUACCAAAUCUGCAGAAACAAGAAUUUAAAAAGCAUGAACAAUCACAAGAACUAACUACUCUAAAUCAACAUAACAAGAACCAAGAAAGCCUUAUCUCUUUUUUGCAAGAACCAAGAUAAACUGUAAUGAAAGAAAAGAUCUUACCGAAAAAAUAGAAACAAGUCUCUCACCAUAUCCCUGCUCUGAGGCCAAGGAAGAGGAACCUUGUAGCGUUGUGGCAAAGGAACCAAACAUUUAGGUGCAGGCUCAGGGCAAUGUCUCUCUCUGUGCUCCAUGUUCCUCUUGGACUUGAGUUUCUUGAUAGCUUUUGUGUUAUCCAAACAAGGUAUGUAAUCUGGACUCUCACAUCUCUUCCAAUCCAGGGGCAAACUCACAUUCCAUUCUUUGUCGUCUUUAAGCCAAUCCGAUUCCAAACCUUGAUCAAUCGGAUGAUCAUCGACUCGGGUCUGAGCAACCGGUGGUUCCGGAGGAGAUGAUGAGUCGUUGGUGGGACUCGAGAUUGGUGUGGAGAUGGGGAUGUCGGAGAGGGAAGAUCGACGGAGAUAAGAGAGAGACAAGUAAGGGAAGAGAUCGAUGGUGUCAUUAGUUAAGAGGAGGAUCGUGACUGAUACGAGCAAGAUUGAGAGAACACAGAGGCCUGAGAAUUUUCGACUUUGGAAGAUGUUCUUGAUCAUUCUUUCUUCUGUUUCCACACAACAAAGCAGAGAGAGAGAGAUACUCUGACCGAUCUUUAGAGAAGAGUAGAGAAGAGAGAUGUUGUAGUUAUGUGCAAAGAGCUAAAAAUAGAAAACAAGAGUGGCAAUAAAUAAAUAUUAUAUGACAUGACAUGUGUCAUGCUAUUACUUGCUCUGACGUGAUGCGAGAUAUGGAAAGUAAUCUUAAAUCUUUAUGAAGUUAUGAUUCUAUUUGUAUAGUUUGAUGUGCAAGUUCGUGGAUGAGAAUACAAAAGCUCGAAUUGGUCUAAUCGUUAAACCGGACAUCUUAUUCUACUUAAACCGGUCAAUCUAAUGAGCUUAGCUUCCUGUGUAGCCUCUUUGCCUUUGUGUUUCUCAAUAAUUCAAUAUGCUACAUAGAAUGUAAGACCACAUUAAAAAAAAAAAACUGUCAAAACAACAAGAAUAUGUCAUUUACUUGUUAAAAGCUCAAGAAUUGAUGGAAAUGCAAAAGCUAUCAAUAUUGCCAAAAUUAAUCCUCAUGUGAACAAAUUUGUUUUGAUAAUUGAGUUAUUUGUUUGUGAACGUAAAAAAUAAAAAGAGAUUAUGAUCCUAAUACAUAUCUAAUUGUCUAGUGAGUGAGUAUAAGUAAGGCCAUAUUAGAGAGAGAUGAGAAUCAAAUUAUGUAAAUAUGGUGAGUCUCAUCCACCGCUUUAGCCAAAAUCUAGAAAGAAACAAAUGGUGUUUAAUAUUAAAAAAAAAAAAAAAAAGUCAAUAUUAAUCGCCCACCGUGGGGCUCGAACCCACGACCACAAGGUUAAGAGCCUUGCGCUCUACCAACUGAGCUAGACGGGCUUGUUGUAUGUGUUCUUCGUCUAAAUUCAAUAUAGCAAACAUAUUCUUUUUUAGGGACUAGAUAGACACUGCUACUACUAGGGGCCCAUGACAUAUUGACAUGUAAUCAAAUAAGUUUUUUUUCCAUUUUUUCGAAUUUAUAAGUUCAUUGAUAUUUCAAGUUGACAUAUCUAUACAUAUGAAAAAUAAUUAGUUGUGUUUCAUGAUCAUUGAUAUUAAAAUGAAGAAAUAUCAGCAAACUGUUUUUCAGAGAUUGAUUGGUAUAUGUUAAGAAUGACAAGUUAUUUAGCUAAGCUCACAUACACCAAUCAUUAUCAAUUCUUGUCAGUAUGAUGAUACACUCACACAGCACUCUACAAACUUUGGUACGAGUUUACUACACUGAUUACUGAUCCCAUUGGAAGACCACUUUGUGUUUUUUUUUCUUGGAUGCAGAAAGUUUUGGUACCACUUUGUUACCAAAAUGAAAUAAAACACUGUACUUUCAUGCGGGGGUAAUGAAAUAAUAGAGUAGCAAUGCCCAUUACAUUACACCUCAAAACAACGGCUGAUUUGAAAUGGUCUCAAGGAAACUGAUAUUACGAAAUGGUCAAAACCAUAAUACUGAAAAUCUUAAAAAGAAGUUAACUCAAGAAACAUAAUAUCUUGUUUCUCUCUCACAAAAGAACAGAUACUAAAUCAAGUCUUCUACCUCACAAGUUACAUCUCAUCAUACUCAAAAUAACUCGAAAGUUAACCAAACUGCGAGGAGUACAGCUAAAAAAUGCGAUCAAGCAGCACCAAGAAGCUCCUGAUCGAAAUGCCAUGUUCCUGUAUACAAAAAAAAAAAAAAAACACAAAGUGUGAGGCACGAAGUGGAAGAAUUGAGGUAUGUGCAGAUAUUAGUUUAAAAGUGAUUAAACAAAUGCUUACCAUGUCCUUUGCCGAGUCUCCUAAGUUGAGAAACAUAUUCUGAGAUUUUCUUAAUCGCUUCCACCUGCGAAAUGAUGUUAUUUUAAGUCAAUUAGAUUCCAUUUUUUGAAAGAUCCAGAACCGCAUAUCUUAGCCACUAUCAUAGAACGUGUCUGUGUUUUGUUUACCUGUUCGUUCAGAAACACACUCUCAAUAAAAUCUGCCAACUGGACAUCAUCGUUCUUCGAAGCCACCUGUUGACCACAUUAUUCAAAUGCCAUAUUGUAUUAAGAAACUACUAGAUUAUGACUUGAAUGCCAUAAACAAGAAUUGGAAUCUUAAGGAGAGAGAUGGAUGGUCUUACACUGUGCAGGUUUAGGAGCUUCUCAUUGACUAGCUUCUCCAAUGAGAGAGCAAGCUCCAUGGCUGCAACAACAAACAACAUUAAAAUUAUGCAUUCCAAACUUAUAAACUCAAACGGAAAUAUGAACCACAAUCACUAUGUUAGAUGCUAAUGAAACCACAAUCUCCUCUUUAAUAAUAACAUCACACCAAUCUCAGAAACGGGAAAAAAGAAGCUUACCAUAGAGAGCAUCUCCUUUCUCAGGGUGAUCAAACUCAGACUGAGGCAGAACCAUGGGCUGUAACUUGACCCUCCCACCACGCUUGUUCUGUAGAUCAAGGAAACAAAGGAUGUUAUCAUAAACAAUCCUCAAACGAUGGGGCUUAUGAAAAAUGAAAUCGUUGGCUAAGAGACCUGAUACUCCAUCAACAGCUCAGCGUGCUCCCGCUCUUCCACACUCGAAUCCUUGAAAAAUCUGAUUAACAAAACACCAAACCACCCAUCAAUCAACACACACAGAGUGUUUCAAUAAAUUAGCAAAGGGAUUUCAAUAAACUCGUAAGUGUUUCCAGAAAAACUCACUUGGCCAAACCCUUGAGGGCAACAUUAUCACGAUCAAAAUACGCAUACAGAGCGUGGUAAACGUACGAUACGUUAUACUCCACACUGCAACAAACGCAAAUCCAGAUUCAUGAGAUACAACUCAAAAAGCUACUAAUCUCAGGGUUCAAAGCAAAAAUGGACUCAAUCGACAGAUUUACAACACAGAAUUGUUCCAAUCUAUGACUAAAAAAAAUCAUCAACAAUACAGGACGAGUAAAAACGUACUUGAUCUGCUCGUUAACAGCGGCUUCGCACUCAGAAGAGUACAAAUGACGAGCAAGAGAAAGGUGCUGACCAGAUGGAACAAGAUCUAGCUCCUUCUUUACCUCUUCGAAAGGCUCGAACACAACGCCGCUCAAGGUGCUUGAACCCUUGGUAGCACGGAGAGCGAAGGAGAGACUCCCGGAUUUUCCAGAAGAAACUGCAGGAGACGAGACGGAGGAGAAGAGAGGAGAGAUGUCUUUCUUCUCUCCAUGAAGGUUCAAGAGUGAGAAAGCAGAAGCAGCCUUGAGAAGCAUUUUUGUUGUUUUUUUUUCCUGAAGAAAAUUUUCAGAUUUAUCUCUCUCUCUGUGCAAACGAAAUUGGAGGAGAAAGAAAGGGUUUUGUGGUGUGAGGCGACUAGUGGGCGGAAGGAGGUAAUAUAAAUGGAUGAUGAGGCUAUGGAUGAACGACACGUGGAUGGACGAGAUUAAGAGGUGGGUUUAGGAGCGUGUCAGGCGUGUGGUACUACUGCUUUGCUGGAAGAUAUUUUUUAUUUCUCUCCUUGUUUCUUGUGUAAAUUUGGACUUUUCCUAAUUUUACCUUUUCGGCUUUUUCUGUAAAGAGAAAAAAAAAAGUUCUUGGUCAGGAAAAACGAAAUAGGAAUAAACUCAAUAAUGUUUUUGAAAAGAUUAUAAUGUGAUUGGGAUGAUUUGAACAAGCGCAAACCUUACCAUUAGUCAUUACGAAAUAUAAAAUUCACAAUUUUAUUUUCUUUGUCUAAAGGUUAAAAAAGAGUUUUAAAAUUCAUAUCAUCUUCUAAAAGAUAUCACUAUAGUAAGACACCAAGUGCAUUUUGAUUGUAAAUGUAGUAGAACCUACGUUAGGAUUAAGCAAGUGCCUAACUUUGUAUGUGUUGAUGUUUCAGCAAAUGCGUGAUCGAUCAUUUCAUUCUUUGCAUAGGUCUUGUACUUAUUGGAAUUUGGUAAAGACGUUCUAACCUUCUUAAUGUUUCUCUCCUUUUCGGUAUUAUAUUUUGUGUGCCAAUUUGAAACUUACCUAAAUAUUUUUACUGUAUAUGGUGAAUAGAAUGUUGUGUAGUAGCCUUCAGUUUUUCAUUCAUGCUCAAGAAACAGGAGAGACUACUUGUUGAAACACAAACUAUUUACAAACACAAACUGAUAGAUAAAAUGGUUCAAAACACUGAAACAAAGAAGAAUCAAACUAGUUGGACGAAUUAAAGAAUUGCAAAAAAACCUACUAUUACUACUCUGCAACAUUCCAAAACUACCAAAAUUCUCCACUCUUUUCUAUUGGCUUGUGGAAGCAGAAGCUUCAGGAACAUCAAUCAACGGUUCGGAUGUUGUUGUUGUUGUUGUCUCUUCAGGUCUAAUCUCUCCGAGCUGUGUCAUCACUUGUUGAGCUUCAGGUCUUGUUGACGGUGUUGGAUCAACACAAUGCAACGCCAGUUUCAGUGUAUUCAAAAUCUCAUCACCCAUUGUGUUCACAUCAUUCAACAGCUCCAAAUCGAAAACCUCAUUAGUCCACUCUUCUUUAACCGCAGUAGCAACCCAUUGAGGCAAAUCCACGCCGUUUAAGGCCUCACUCGGAGAUUUACCAGUCAAAAGCUCCAAUAUGAUCACACCUAGGCUGUAUACAUCGGUUUUCGUGUUAGCUUUCUUCAGCUUAGAGAGCUCAGGUGCUCUGUAACCUAAAGCACCAGCUGUUGCAAUCACGCUUGAUCCUGCUGCUGCCGUCAUUAGCCUCGAAAGACCGUAAUCUGAAAUCUUGGCGUUGAUGUUCUCAUCCAAAAGCACAUUGCUUGAUGUUAAGUUUCCGUGGAUGAUAUUAGCGUGCGUGUGAAGGUAGAACAAGCCUCGAGCCAUUCCCUUUAUUAAGCUCAUCCUUGUAGGCCAAUUGAUAUGAACAUCUGGUCCUCUUGCUGCAAUUUCAAGCAUGAAAACAGAGUUAUGAAAUGUUACUUUCUUUGGCAAAAAUAUUACAACACUUUGUGGCUUUUCUAGCAAUAGUUUUAAACUUUACCAUGGAGGAAUGUGGCAAGACUUCCUCUAGACAUGUAAUCGAAGACGACAAGCUUCUCUCCCUUGGGGCCUAAGUAAUAAGCUCUAAGUGCAAGGAGAUUCGGAUGCCUGAUUCUUCCCAACACAUUAAUCUCAUUCUCGAACUCCUUCUGGCUUUUGGUGAUCUUUUCUCUCAACCUCUUCACUGCAACUUGACUUCCAUCUUCAAGUGUAGCUUUGUAAACUGUACCAUACGUGCUUUUCCCCAUAAUCUCUGCGGUUGCACACAGAAGAUCAUCUGCAGUAAACGCCAUUGGCCCAUCAAAAUGAACCAGCUUCCCUCCGGUUUCGCCUCCAGUUUCUGCUUCCCCUCCUUUUUCGGUCUUCCCUGUUGCAGCUCCCUGUCCAGCCUCUCCGCCCUUUGCUUUGGUUUCAUUAACUUUUUUCCUCAGCAAGCAACAUAGAACACAUACAAGGAUAAGCAUAACUAUGAGGAGUGCUCCAGAAGCAAUGAGGAUGAUGUCUUUGGUACUCAGAUUCCUGUGGGAUGAUUUCUUUUCUUUUUCAGGAGACGGUGAGGGCAGAGUUGGACAUGGCGUUGAGACACUGUAUCCACAAAGCUGCAAGUUACCGACGAAAGAGGAGGCGUUGAACUUUUGGGACAAGGGAGUAGGAACAGGACCAGAUAAGUUGUUAUAAGAGACAGUGAAGAAGCUAAGGCUUUUCAGAUCAGAAAUGGAGAUAGGAAUCUCUCCGGUAAGUUUGUUUUGAGACAAAUCCAGAUGUGUAAGAGAAGAAAUGUUUCCUAGAGAUUCAGGGAUCUUGCCACUUAUACUGUUACUGCUAAUAUCCAUUGUUCUAAGCUUAGUGAGUUUGCUUAACUCAGAAGGCAGGGUUCCACGGAUCCUGUUAUGACUAAAGGACAACUCUUGCAGCUGAGUUAGGUUGCAGAGUGAAAAUGGGAAUGGACCAGAGAGAGUGUUGUGACCAAGAGAUAAGACACGGAGACUAAGAGACUUACUACCCCAAGUAUCUAAGAUUGGACCAGAGAGGUUGUUAUGGUCAAGAGCAAGAAACUGAAGAGAAGGAGAACGAGAGAGGCUCACUGGGAUUUGACCAGAGAGUGAAUUGAAGCUGAGAUUAAGCCUAAGAAGCUUAGAAGAGUCAGCAAGAUUCGGUGGGAUAAUCUCAGAGAGCAAGUUAUUGCUGAGAUCAAGCAUUUGAAGGAAACGCGAAACACCGAGCGAAGCAGGGAUUGAGCCAGUGAGACGAUUGUUGAAAAGCUGGACUCCUCUGAGAUUAGGAAUGAGCCCCAAGGACAUUGGAAUCGAGCCUCCAAGGUUGUUGUCAUGAAGACUAAGCUUGCGAAGAGCUUGAAGCUGUCCGAUUUUCUCAGAGAUCCUACCACCAAGACUCUUCCAUGGGAGUUGAAUCACAAUGACUUGACCUUGAGCACAUUUGAUACCAGACCAGCCUCCAGAGCAAGCGCUGAAUCCAGAACCGUUCCAGCUUCUCAAGAAUCCUCUCGGAUCAAUCAGCUCUUGUUUAACUGCUUGAAGGCCUUGGUAAUCAGCUUGUGUGAUCACUACACCGUCCCAUGCUUGGCUCGAGCUGGGAGGGACGAAGAAGAGGAGGAGCACGAUCAGGUGAAGAAGAAAGCAGCUUCGAAGUGAAGCCUUAGGUUGAUCAAUGGUGGUGUUGAUCAUACUUAAAGAAGGGAAAUCAAAGAAAGCUUGGUUUUGAGAAAUAAACUCCAUUAGAAGAGAGAAGAAGAGUUUGAGAAUGUUUAAGAGUGAAAAGUAGCUCUGAGGAGGAUAGAACAGAGGAAGAUUUUGGAUUUGAAAGAGUUUUGUAAAGUGAGAGAUGUGUUUCGUUGGAAAAGAACAACACAGCACGUGACCAUCUUAGAGAGAGAGAGAAUCUUGGUGAGUGUUGUUUUUAUCUUCUAGUGAGAGAGAGAGAGGAGGGGGAGACAAAGAUCAGGUGAUGGUAAUAAGAGGUUGAGGGGUGGGAACAGUGGCUCUCUGCUUCUUUGCCUAUAAUACUAAAUGAGCUCCAACGGCUAGUUUUCAUUUAUUCAUAUUAAUUAUUUAGUGUUUGAAACUAACACUUUGUUUUCUUCGAUGGGGUGUGGUCACUCUUGCUCAUGUUAUUUUGUCUAACGGUGUUUGUUAAAUUUUUUUAUUACUAAUUAACUACAAAAUGUGUCAUUGGGAAAUUGGAAUCACUUAUUUUCAUAAGAUUGUAGAUCUUUCUUUUUAUAAAAAGGUUUGGUUUAUUAGUAUCAAAAACGAUAAAAUCAUCAAUCACACAAUACAAACAUGUUGGUUCUGACAAAGAUUAUAAAAUCAUAAAACAAAAAAUGAUUUUGACAAAGAGUAUUACUCAUAGUUCAAAUUUGAACCAGUAAGUAAUACGAUAUUUAACACUCUAAUUUACUCGGUUAGUUUGUAACAUUUGUGAUUUCUUGGAUAGAAAAUGGAAAACAUAAAUAAAGUACUAGUUUUGGAUGUGAGGUCAACAAUAUUUUUCUUAAUUUUAUUCCAAAUCUAAAGAAAGAGAUCAAAGUAUAGUUCGUCUGAAUAAAGUAAAAUAAAGCAGACACAGCAUUUAUUUUAAAUUCUUUUUUUGUUAUUGUGUUUUGCAGACCAGCUUCGUUUAGUGCGCCGGAGCUGGUGCCCUAAAUGGACACGAACAACGAACCGCGCUCCUUCACUUCUUCUCCCAACGGCUAUAUUUUUGUGGGACCUACAAGCCAGUGGAUCACACUCACUAGUGAAGAAGCCCAAAGUUAAAAACGAAGAAGACCAUUUUCAUUUAUAUUUAAUGACUUAUAUAGUGCCCCUUCGAACUGGGAAGUAAUAAAAGUGGUGUACUAGUUUAAGAAGAAGAAGACGCCCUACUUUUUAAACUUGAAAGUGAAACUUUUCUCGUCUUACAAUUAUUAUAAAAAGAAAAGAGGAGAAGGUUUGGGUGUGUGUCCCGUACGAGGUUAUCAUAUUAUGUUAUUGUUGACGUUUGAUCUAUCUUUGCUUUUGUUUCUUUACUACUAUUACUAAUGCUAGUUGCUGCUGAUUUGUACACAUCUAACUCGAUUGGUAUGCAGCUUUUUAAAAUAUAUGUAUCUUCCUUGCAUAUACAUUUUCCAAUUUGAACACAUUUUUCAAUUUGAACACAUCUUCUCAAUCUCCAAACCAAUCCUGACCAUUUCUUUUGCAAAGGUUUGAAAGAGUAAAAUUCUGGAGAUACUCUCUCUUACCUUGAACUCAUGUGAUGUCAUGUAUUGUAUUUGCUAUCACAAGAACUGUUUGUCUCAAGUCUCACAUUAUUCUUGCAUAAAGUUUGGUGGAAUCGAAACAAGAUGGUUUUUCAAGGAAGCUUUUAUCAAACUGAUUAAGCUGUUGCUAAAGCAAUUAGAGUUCUCCUUGAAAUCUUGUUAGACCCGGGGGAAUUGAAGACCAAAACUAUACCAGAUUACCCACUAAGUUCAGAAAAUCUUUCAAAGUUAAGUAUACACAAACUAAUAACCAUCAACCUCGAACACCAAAGCUUAGCCUAAUUUUGUAACCAAUCAUCAAUGCCUUACUCUUUUAAUCAGAUCACCUUGUGUUCACCAAAUCCUUUAAACAUUAAGUGCUAGAUUUCCAACUAUAGUUUGAUUCUCGUUUUGUAGAUCUAUUGUUAUCAUGCGUUUCCAUAUUCUUCACCUUUAGUAUGGUAGCAAACAACAACACCAACUUAAGAUAUAUAAGUAUUGUGAGCUCGAUUUGACCACCAUAUCAUUCACAUAGCUAGAUCUAACCUAUAAAUUAAAUUUUGGCCAUCUGAUCAAGCUUCCGGAAAAGGAAAACCAAGGCAAUCAUAUCUGUUCCAUACUUACAUACUGAGCAGAUAUAUGAGAUAACCGCAAUUAAAGAAGAACUAGCCACUAGACCAUCAAUAAAACAACUAUGGUAAACGCAAGAGAUUUCAUGUGCGCUGUAUUGAAUAUAAUAACAAAUCUCAAAUAAGAAGAAGACACACCAACUACUAAAAAGAAUUUUACCAGUCCUACCCUAACGAUCCAAAGCGCUGUUCUCUAAUUGACUGGCUACAAUCCUUUACAAGCCACAAUGAAAUGGAUCAUUUAAACAAAGAAUAUCGAACAUGCACCAAGAAGUAUAUCUAGACAAUCUACAGAAAUCACCUAAUAAGUUCGAACACCAUAUAGCCUUUUGAAACUACUAAGUUUUCUAGCUAAGUGCUUCCAGAUCAAACUAUUAUGUCACUGAAUCUCCAUUAAACUGCUAAAGAAUCCUAAACACAAAUAGAACCACCCCAAUUGCAGCAAUAUCCUUAUUCGUUUUGGUGACCAAUGCUCUGAAAGUCACUGCCACUGAUAAAGGAAACAAGAGAACAGACUGAAUGAAGGGAGAUGAAAAUUUAACAGUGAAUCCCAAAUUAGGAGAACGAUAGAGAAAGAGCAACUUUGAGUUUUCUACAUCUGAACAUAAAAGUGUCGAGCCACCAAAUAGAAAAACAACACAAGACGAAGCAGAUAUUGCAACCAAAAAUUCGUAGUUCUAAGUAUGCUGAGCUUCGUUACGAAUCUACAUUCAAAUCAACAACACCAAAUCCCUAAAAUCAGUACGGAGUAACCAAUCAUAAUUGUAAUUAAAAGGCACGAAUACUCAUCUCAACUCCAGGUUGCUUCGUUGACGAGAUCUGAAUCGAAUCCAGCUCUUAAACUCUCCCCGAGACAGCUGCAGCAGCUGAGGUAGCAGAACCUCCAAGGAAUGAGAGUAAUCCAGCAUUGGCAGGCUCUUGAUCGUCCAAGAAGAGAUCAUCAGGAACCACAAAAGCACCGUGUACGCAAACAAUCGCAACACCAACCAUAAGCGCAGAGGUUAAGAGAGAUCCAACGCUCGUCAUAAACACGACGACGAUCGUAGACAAGACAAGAGCAAGCAAGGUCUCUCGAUCAGAGAAAGUGCGACCGAAGACGACCAAUGGCUGAUCUGAUGGCCGGAAGAGGUAAAGGAACAUCCACCCACUUAGUAGACCGAGCAGCACGAGAAGGGAGAGAGGAUGAGAGAAAAGCGAAAAGGCGAGCACGAGGGAGACGAUGGCGACGUAGUUAACCUUGAAGUAGGCGAGAUUCUUCCUGAUCCGGGACAAGGCAUCGGUGAGAGAUUCAGGACGAGCCAUGGAACUCCGAUCGACUAGCUCCGUCCAAGGACGACGCUGUGACAAGCCAUCACGGAUCGAGGUGGAGAGGCGUGAGAAGAAAGUACGAAAAGCAGGUGUGUUGAUUGGAGGCUGAGAUUGAACAGCUUGCUGAUUGGUGACAGGUAGCGUCGGUGGAGUUGCCAUGGCGGUGGCGCGUGAAGGUUAGAUGCGGCUGAUCUGGCCCUGAGCUUCCCGAUCUGUAAGCUUGAACGAAAAUAAUCAAUAGUUCUGUAGUUCUGCUCAAUCAGAGCUCGUGUAGAUUAGAUAUUUUGAGGGCCUGAGUCUGACUCUGACCAUAAAGGUUGAGCCGGCCCAAAUACUCAAAGUCGCCGGUUCGAUUCCGCCUCUUGCCUUUUUCGCAGUAAUCUUUCCUUUUUUUUUUUUGGGGGAUUUUUUUAAUCAAACCCUAAAAAUACCGAGAGCGCACGACUAACCUUGACGUCUUUACUGACGGGCGCCACGGUUUGGUGGUUCGUUCUUCAUCUUCCGCCGAUUUCUUCACUCGGCUCUGUUUUCUUCUACUUCUUCUUCUCUUGAACACUGUAAAACGACAUCGUUAGCACCAUGUUUGAUGAAAGCAAGUUCGAUGUCAAUCUCAAGCUGUGGGCUCUAAGAAUUCCCCGUGAACUCUGCAAAAGUGCAACUCGCAUUCUCAAUGGGUACGUUUCUUCAAUAACACAAAUUUAGUGAGCUAAGAAUCAUAUGACUUUCAAAAAUGUGUUCAAUAAGUUCAAAUUUUCGAGAAUAAUAAGUUCAAUGAGAAAGUGGAGUUAGCAGCCAUUACUUUUUAGUGUGGUUAGUAUUCGUACUGAUGAAAAGGAACAUACUUGGUUUGAUAACUUGUAGAUACAUGCUCAACAUGCCACGAAUUAAGCCCAUCACUGAAGAUCCUUCAUGUGAAAAGACUCGUUUGGUGAUAUUGUCCGACAACGUUAAAAGUGCUGGUAAGAGUUAAAUUCUUUAUCUGGGAAUGUGUCUAGGAAAUAGUGGGGAUUAGUCGUAUUAACCAAGUUUUUCUUUGUUAUAGGACAGAUUUGUCGGAGAUACCCGAGGAAAAACUAAACCAGCUUAAGAAACUAAGUGAAUUUGAAGUUGUUCCUCAUUCGGUCUCUCUUGGAUAUUCCUAUUGGAGUGCAGGUAAGCCAACAAUUUCAUUAGGAAGAUUUCUUCCAUUACCGUUUGUAUCUUGGAAUUAACAGGAAUGCUAUCCUUUAUGAUCUGUUUGAAACAAGCUUCUCUUGCGCUCUUUAAUCUAAAGCUUUUUUGAGUUUUUAUACAUACGUACGAGAAAAGUUGGUUACCAUUUCCUUCUAACUGUUGCUGGCCCGUUUCUUCGCCAAUUGGUUUGUGUUUCCCUGACAUUUGCAAUCCGAAUCAAUGGCUAUUCGUAAAUGGUCUAACGGUUUCUUGGGUUCUAUUAGCCUAAAAAUUCUUAUUUCCUUAAGUCCCUAUCCUGUUUAGGUGAUAUGAAAUCUUCUGAUAUGGUUUUUUCCUCGCAGAUCACAUAUUGAAGCAGAUUCUACCAGAUGGAGUGGACAUACCUUCAUCUUUUGAAACGAUAGUUAAGUAUUAAAUUUCUGUUUGCUUCUGGAACUUACCUACUUUAGAUUAGAAGAAAUCUGUUUGCAUGGUCUAGCAAUUUUUGUGUGCAUUUGUUAUAACUUAUUUCCAUCUAGUCUGCAACCUAAACACUAAUGGGUAUAUUUUCUUCUUAAGUUUUCAAGUAUUAUAAAUCCUCUCAAGAGAACCAACAUCUCUUUGCUUACUAAGUGCAGGUCAUAUUGCCCACUUAAAUCUACAUGAUGAGCUCCUUCCAUUCAAAGAUGUUAUUGCAAAGGUUAUCUAUGAUGUAAGUUUUUGAUGUUCUGUUCAUGAUAGCAUUUAUUUAUUUAUUUAAUAAUUGCAUCUCGUGUCAUCACAGCAAAGGCAUCUAACCUUCUGGUGGUCUUUUAUAUUUCUAGAAAAAUUAUCCAAGAAUCAAGACAAUUGUGAAUAAAGUUGGGACUAUCAGUAAUGAGUUUCGAGUUCCAAAGUUUGAAGUGCUAGCUGGGGAAAAUGAUAUGGAAACAGAAGUGAAACAAUAUGGCGCAAGAUUCAAGCUGGACUAUGGCUUGGUAUAUUGGAAUUCUAGAUUGGAGCAUGAGCACAUGCGGCUUUCGUCUUUGUUUAAACCUGGAGAAACCGUGUGUGAUAUGUUUGCUGGUAUUGGGCCUUUUGCUAUUCCAGCUGCACAAAAAGGAUGCUUCGUUUAUGCAAAUGAUUUAAAUCCAGACAGUGUUCGGUACUUGAAGAUCAAUGCAAAGUUCAAUAAGGUUGAUGAUUUUAUUUGUGUGCACAAUAUGGAUGCUCGUAAAUUUUUCUCUCAGUUGAUGACGGUGUCAACUUUUGAGGGUAAUCUGCAAUCGGUGGCUAAUGGUAAAACAAAGGAAGCAGUCGGUCGAGGAGGUAGUGGAUUUAAACUAUAUUUUUGCAUUAUAGUUAGCAUAAAGAAUAACAUUAACGAUUGGGGUCUCUAUACUGUGCUUAACUAUAGCUGAGACUAAAUUUGAAGAUAAAAAUGUUGGAAUUGGUGGAGAGGGGAUACAUGAAUCCAAUGCAACCAUAAAUGAGGCUCUUGGUGCAAUUAAGAAGCCCUCUGGUAUUACAGAGACAGGUAAGAAUUGUCUCAGAAUUUUUUUCUAAGACAUUCUAUUAGCCUUGGGGAUCAUCACAAUUCACAAGUAUAUAUUAUUUGAGUGCAGAAAAUGGGGUAGGAAAAGACCGCAAGAGUAUAGAAGGACACGCAAAUAAGAGGUUGAGACAAACAUUGCUUCCCAUUACAAAGCCGUGGGAACACAUCGACCAUGUUAUCAUGAACCUUCCAGCUUCUGCCUUGCAGUUUAUAGGUAUGCUAUCAACGAUUCUAGAUCUUUUGUUAAAUUUGGGACUAUUUUUAGACUCUUACAUAGGAAAUUGCAGCUCACAAAAUAAUGAUCUUGAUUCAGUAUUCUGGUUCAUGGUUAUAUUGUAAUGCUGUUUAUGCUAUGUGAAAAGAGAGUUUCAUUAACUACAUUUCACAUUAGCAAGUUAAUUAGGACCAGGGUCUAUAUAAAUAGAACAUGCAUCAUGUUUUAAGGCUUGUAUGUGUGAUUUGUUCUUCAACUCUAGUUUUUUUUUCUCUUCAUAUUACUAAUGCAUAUAAGCUCUGUAAUUGUUUGUGCAGAUUCUUUUACUAAUGUUAUUCAAAGGAAGUAUUGGAAAGGACUUCUUCCUUUAAUUCAUUGCUAUUGUUUCAUUCGUGCAAGCGAAACGACAGAGUCUAUAAUUGCAGUAAGUAUCAGCCACUCCCUCCUGCUUGUCCCUUGUAGUUUUGUUCUCUUCACUAUCAUAUCUUAAUACCAAAGACCUGUUAGCAAAUUUCGGCAUGCCUUGAAAAUCUGAAAUACUACUUCUGUGACACUUUUAAGGAAGCUGAAACUGCUUUGAAGUUCCAUAUAGAAGAUCCAGUCUUCCACAAGGUUAGAGAUGUAGCUCCAAACAAGGUAAGAUCCCACUCAUCUGUUUUUCAUGAAUGAAUUUUGGUAUAUUAUCGUCUUUGGUUCCUGAGCAUGGAUAUUUUUGUACAUUGCAGGCGAUGUUUUGUCUAAGCUUUAGACUACCUGAAGCAUGCAUGAAACAAGAAGAGUAAAAGACAUUUGUAGGAAAAAGAACAGAACCAAAAACGCCUUUGGAAUCUCUUCUCGUUUUGUUUUAUGGUAUCGUAAUAGAUCAGGAAUCAUUAAUGAAUGAGAUGAGAGUCUUCUUGUGUCAUAGGAUGUUAUAUAGCAGCAGUUCUAAAAUCCAUUGCUACAAAUGAUUGAACUGAAUUGUCAAAGAUUUUUGGUUGGUUUUAAACAUUGUUCGUAGUUUGUACCUUCACACUAAUAAAGUGUUGUUUGCCCAUACCUUGUGAAAUAAGUUCAUAGAAGAUGCUGAAGAGUCAAGACUCUGAGAGUGUAGUUGACAUUAGCAAAAAGACUGUUAGAAAAGAUGAAAGCACAUUUAGUAAUAAUAUACUCUUGACCACAUAUUCACCAUUAAGAGUGGGCUUUUACACUGGCGCAUGUUAGCAAGAAUAGUGACGGACCGUAGUGUAGAUGCGGCGGACGGAGUAACCAAAGAAGAAGGCCGCUCAAAAUAAUUAAAGUUGCCCAACCGUCACAUCUUCUUCAACCGAUCUUAGCUCAAAUAACCAACCCAAUUCUAUUUUGGUGUUAAUUCAACGAACCCAAAACCUUUUUCUUUCUCCUUUCUAGCUCAAGCUUUCUUCUUCCAAUGGCGUCUUCUGCAGCUCUCGGAUCUCUUCAUCGUGAGUCUCUCCCGCUCUGUCUCUUUGCUUUCCUUUCGUUCGUUGUGUAAAAUUAUAACAGAGGACCAUCAUUAGAAAUGUAUAGAUUGGAGCUAUCAGUUAGUGACAUUGCUGCUUCUUAGAGUGUAAUUAUACAGUCUUAAACUAUCUGAGGUUUUCAUGUUUUGAUAGAUCCGAUCUCUUUGUCGCAAUUGGUAUUUUUUUGUGACUGGAUAAGGUUUCGAUUUCGGAUCUUGAAUGUCUGAUUAUUUUUGUAUCAGAGAUGCGUUUCUCGUCUAGUGUCGGAAUAUUUCCAUUGGUCUUUCUUCAGGUGCUUUGUUGGAUUUUAGGCUAUUAAGUGGGAUUUUUCUCGUUCCAUUUUACAGAGACUUUAGGGUCACAGAGUGAGCUUCACUUGCUUUCUGGAAACUGGUCUGCCUCUGGUACUUCUUGUGUACCACGGUGGAGAUUAUCCAACAGGAGCAGCAAUUACACGCUUGUGUUACGUGCAAAGGCCUCUAAAACUUCGAUAACUACCAAAAGCGAUGGUGAGUUUUUCUUCCACAAUUCUUCUACAUGUUUGUAUUGCUGGUUGAUUCCUUUCUCACUGUUAGGAACUUAGGAUUGGAAUGGUUAUGCCACUAUGCCUCAUCACUUAGCUAACACGAUCCAUUGGCUAAAUAUGCUACUAGUCUCUUUUGCUCUUAAAGAAAUUCUGUACUCAAUUACCUAAGGCUAGCUGUAAUUCUUCAUCUUUCCCAAUUGUCUUGGAACUAGGGAAUACAGUGAUGUGAAGAUUGGAACAUUUUCAUUUCUUUCCUGGACUUUUGCUCAUCUCUGGUUUUGCAGAUUCAUCUGAUGCGACUGUGUCAAACGGGAAGAAAUCUGUUCGACGGACUACUUUCCCGAAAGAAGUGGAGGUUUCUUCCUUUGCCUUAUUUGGGUUUAGAUACUAGUUUCUUUAGCUUAUAAGUUUGGUAGGUGAUGAUUUGACGAUGUCCUCAAAUAUGCACUUUCUAGAUCGUCAGGAUUUUGGAUGCAUAACUUCAGGCAAUUUACUCUUAUAAUUUUUCAACAUGAUGUAUGGACCUUUCUUUAUAUAUUGUUCGAUGAAUUAUAUGUUUUAUUUUUCAACUGUUGCAGGCACUGGUCCACGAGAUGUGUGAUGAGACUGAGGUUGCUGUCCUGAAACUCAAGGCAAGUUUCUCUGGCGUUAACUUUAACUUUACUGUUUUCGUAAACUUUUCUUUAACCCUAUGACGAAGACAAUUGCAAGUUAUUUUACAACAGUGAUGGAGCUAAUAUCACUUAUUUGAGUUGAGGCUGACUAGUCUCUAACGUAGUUUCCAACAAUUUCAAUUUCUGAUGCUAUCUUUCACUACAGGUUGGAGAUUUCGAGAUGAACCUAAAACGGAAGAUUGGCGCAGCCACAAACCCCAUUCCCGUGGCGGAUAUUUCUCCAAGCGUAGCACCUCCUAUUCCUUCUGAACCCAUGAAUAAAUCUGUUUCUUCUGCUCCCAGCCCAUCUAAAGCAAAACCUUCUGAGAAAGUAUCUCCAUUUAUGAAUACAUCAUAUGGGAAACCAGCAAAGUUGACAGCUUUGGAGGCAUCUGGAUCAAACAAUUAUGUUCUCGUCAAAUCUCCCUCAGUAUGAGAUCCAUCACCAUAUUUAGUGAUUGCUUUCAUAUCCCUUUCUCGCAUUCUUCUUGUUUAAUUUGAUCUUGAAUCUUCUUCUCUUUUCUAAAGGUUGGCGAGUUUCAGAGAUGCAGAACUGUAAAAGGAAAGAAACUAUCUCCUACCUGCAAAGAGGUAAUUGACUCUAAACUCUUUUUCUUCUCUUAAAAUGAAAAGACAAAUAAGAUUAAAGAAUGUCCCAUCCUAAAUCCUCAGGGUGAUGAAAUAAAGGAAGGCCAAGUUGUCGGAUACUUACAUCAGUUGGGAACAGAACUUCCAGUGACGGUAAUAGCUUAAGCUAAUGUAUCCAUCUCUUCUUCGUAACUAUCAAAUAUUGUACUCAUCGAUCUUUGCUAUUCAUGAAACAGUCGGAUGUAGCUGGGGAAGUCCUCAAGUUUCUUUCAGAUGAGGGAGGUAAACAUUUUGAGUAUUCAAACCGUAUCAAUUAAUAUGAACAUUCAGAAAUCAUAUGAGAAAAUUAAUAUAAACUCUCAUGCUUCAUGUAAAAACAGACUCUGUAGGUUAUGGUGAUCCUCUGGUAGCGGUCUUACCAUCGUUCCACGAUAUCAACAUCCAGUGAGAAUGAUGGUUUCUUCAGCCCAAUUCCGCACCAAAUGAAUAACCUUCAUCAUCUCGAGACUGUACUAUUCGUCUUGUCCUGUGUUUCUUUUUUUGAAGAUUGUAGUUGCAAAGAGUCUAUUUUGAUCUUGCUCUUAUCAUUUGUCUUUUGUCACGUAACCUUGUGUUUUUGUUUUUGGUCACGUAAUGUUUUUUUUUCUGCACCAGAAAAAAAAAAAGAGAGUUGUGGUGAAUUUUGUUUUGUUAUUAGAAAUGACGUGGCUAUCUUAUCUUCCCCGAUCAUCAGAAGAAAUUCAGAAGAAAAUUGACGAAUGUUUGUUUGAUUAUAAUUAUAUUAACCGUGAAGAACAUAAAUUUAAAGUUGCUCUCUCUUAUUAUUGUAUUUGUAUCGGCUCGCUCGAUGUAUGUGUGAUAAAGCUGACGUGUACAAACGGAGCUCUCUGCUCUUCUCGGAGAAAUGAAACUCACCACAAAUGAUCUCUUCGUUUCUCAACCAUUAUUUCACUGCCCUUGCUCCUCCCACCGUCCUCGCCGUCGCCGUCUCCAUGGCCUUCAUUUUCCGAUCAACCUCAGUAAUAAGAAGAACAAUUCUUUAUCCGUCGCUGCUCUUUCUGAUUCCGAUCUUCCAACACAAGCCGCUUUCUCUCGCCGCGCUAUUCUUCUCUCGCCGCUCCUCGCUUCAGCUGCUUCCUUGAUUCUCAAGCCGUCUGUCUCUUUAGCCUCCGAGGAGAGCUCGUCCGCUACAGUGAAUUCGCCUGCGGAAUCAGCAGCUCCUCCUGCGACCGCCACCGCUCCAUCUCCGCCGCCUGCGGAAGAGACUAUAACCUCGAGAAUCUAUGACGCUACGGCCAUUGGUGAGCCGAUGGCUAUGGGAAAAGAUAAGAAGAAAGUGUGGGAGAAGCUGAUGAACGCGAGAGUUGUGUACCUCGGCGAGGCGGAGCAGGUGCCUACCAAAGACGACAAGGAGCUUGAACUCGAAAUCGUUAGAAACUUGAGGAAGCGAUGUGUUGAGAAUGAUAGCGAGCGUCAAAUCUCUGUUGCACUAGAAGCAUUCCCUCUCGAUUUGCAGGACCAGCUUAAUCAGUACAUGGAUAAGAGGUUUGGCUACACAUUCUUACUUCGAGCUCGAGAUUUUCGUGAUCCUGAGUAAUUUUCGUUUUUGGUGGCAGGAUCGACGGAGAGACAUUGAAGUCUUAUGUGACAGAUUGGCCUCCUCAACGCUGGCAAGAAUACGAGUCUCUUUUAAGUUACUGUCGCGAUAACUCUGUUAGACUAAUUGCUUGCGGCACUCCUCUCAAGGUAGAGUUUUUGGAUCUAGUUUAACUGUUUGGAAUCUUUGGCUCAUCUUUAUUGUUUGGUUUGGUUUGAUUUUAUUGUUUUAAUUCGGAUCUAGAGUGCUUUUAUGAUAUUUUUUUGAAUAACUGUUGGACUCUCACUGAUUGAUGUUUGUGGGAAUAAUAAUUAUAGUCUUCACUGUGUAACUGAGUAUGGACAUGUUAAAGCUUUUAAAGACUAAAGAGAAUGAGCUUCUCAGAAAUUUUGCUUUUGUUUGUUACUCUUAUAAGAGAUGAAAAAACUCUGCUUAAUCUGAUGUAGGUUUUAAGAACUGUCCAAGCAGAGGGUAUCCGUGGACUUUCAAAGGCUGAGCGUAAAUUAUACACUCCCCCUGCUGGUUCUGGGUUUGUCUCAGGAUUUUCUUCAUUCUCACGGAGAUCUACAUUCGAUAUGAGCCUCCCGACACAGAUUGUUCCGUUUGGACCAAGCUCUUAUUUGUCGGCACAAGCAAGGGUUGUCGAAGACCAUACAAUGUCACAAGUUAUUUUACAAGCAGUAGCAGAUGGAGGGGGUACUGGUCUACUGGUAGUGGUGACAGGGGCAAGUCAUGUUGAGUAUGGUUCAAGAGGAACAGGUUUGCCAGCAAGGAUCUCAAGGAAGUUUCCAAAGAAAAACCAAGUCGUUGUAUUACUUGAUCCUGAAAGACAGUACUUGCGAAGAGAGGGCGAAACUCCAGUUGCUGAUUUCUUAUGGUAUUCUGCUGCAAGGCCCUGCAGUAGAAACUGUUUUGACCGAGCCGAAAUUGCUAGAGUAAUGAAUGCUGCUGGCAGGAGGCGAGAUGCCCUUCCACCGGUAAGAAUCAUAUGGUUGCUUUCAUUAUAUUGACGACCUGUGCUCUUGUAUCUUAAAAUCUCUUAUCAAUUGAUUUGAUAAGCAGUUCAAUUCUUUUCCCCAAUUUUUUCUUUGUUGAGCAUGACUUUGGAUUAAGCUUGUAUAUGACAAGUUCAGAAUGAUGCAAUCUAUUCCAUGCUUUCCAGGAUAUUCAAAAUGGAUUAGACCUUGGUCUGGUGUCACCUGAGGUUCUGCAGAAUCUAUUUGAUUUAGAGCAGUAUCCUCUUAUUUCUGAGCUUACUCAGCGGUUCCAGGUAUAUACAUUCUGGUUUGCAUGGAAUAUUUAUGCUUUGUGCUCUAUAUUGAUAUAGCAGAGCUUGCAUACCAGUCUAGUUCAUACAUUACUUGUCCUAUAUUUAUCAAGGUUCUUGAAUAGUUUAGUGGAAAUUCAAUAACGACGAUUUACUGUGAAUUUGUGAUACAGGGUUUCCGAGAAAGGUUGUUGGCUGAUCCAAAAUUCCUGAAUAGGUUAGCUAUUGAAGAGGCUAUAUCAAUAACAACCACACUUAUAGCACAAUAUGAGAAGCGGAAAGAGAAUUUCUUUGAAGAACUCGACUAUGUUAUAACUGAUACAGUGAGAGGAUCAGUCGUUGAUUUUUUCACAGUUUGGCUUCCUGCGCCAACUUUGUCUUUUCUAUCAUAUGCUGACGAGACCACCGGACCAGACAGCAUAGAAUCCCUGAAAGGCCUCCUAGGAUCCAUACCUGAUAAUGCAUUUCAAAAGAGUCUUGCUGGAAGAGAGUGGACUCUGAAUCUUAGAAUUGCCUCAGUUGUUGUUGGUGGCUUGAAGCUUGCUGGUGUUGGAGUUGUUUCCAGUUUUGCGGCUGUGGGAGGGUCAAAUGCAUUGAAUGUGGUACGGAAGUUCAUUAAACCCGAGUUGGUUGUUGCUCAGAAGCCAAAGAGGUCUCCUCUUCUGAAAACGGCAAUGGUUUAUGGAGGUUUUCUGGGAGUAUCUGCAAAUAUUCGUUACCAGGUAUGAUGACCCAUUCUGCUCGACAGUGAUGGUGUAUUUAUGUUACUUUGUUGUCUUGGCUAAGGGAGAGCGUUGAUGGAAAGACAUUAUCAUUUGAUUUAUUCCUCUAACAUGAAAGUGUCUUUAUAUGCAGAUAAUUGCUGGAUUAAUAGAGCAUCGUCUAUCUGAUGAGCUUUCUUCUCAACCUCUACUUGUAAAUACGAUUUCAUUUGUUGUCAGGACACUUAAUUCAUAUUUCGGAACACAGGUCAGUCUUACAUGCCUGUAUAUUUUAUUUCUUUUUCCUCUUUUUUUUUAUUUCCUUUUCUCCUUUAAGCAUAGUGUCCUGAACCACUUAUUUUGGAAGUCCUAUUGACUUGAUCCCAACUUUUGAUAAAAAUGUGGCAGCAAUGGAUUGAUCUUGCACGGUCUACUGGUCUGCAAACUCAGAAAAGCAUUCCACCCCCUACCAAAGUUCCAGAGGCUUUGGAAGAAUCUACGGUGGAAUGCGAUACUACUGCUGAAGAGGAAAGUGUUGACAAGCUCAAUAAUCAAUGAUGCUGGUAAGGCUUCCCCACUAGUUAUCAAUGCAUAAUUUUUUGCCAAAAGCCUUAGAUGAUAUAAAUGAGGAUAAUAACUUUUAAUCAGUCAUUUUUAUAGGAUGGUGAAAAACUGUAACACUCUUAGUUGACAAAUAUUUUUGUACAGGAGUUGGAGAUGGUAUCUCUGUUGGCAAUAAGUUGUGGUCCAGAAAUACAUUGUGGAGUCCGGAACAAGAAUUCAGCAAACCUGUUGUGUAUGAGUCAGCUGCAUUUUGUUUAGACACGUAGCAUCAUGUAUACUGUUUUCUUUCUGGAAUUAAAGGCUUUGUCAAUGAAGCUUACGUUAGUUACUGAUACACAGUAAAAAUCAGGAAUCUUUGUCCAUGCAGUGCAGAUAUGUUGAGUGUAGGUACCAACUGGAGAAAUUUUUUGAAGGUCUUCGUGUGACUCGACAUCAAUCCUGAUAAGUAAUUUCCAGAUUUGAGGGUGGUUAUAUCUACAAAUUUUUGUGUGCUCAAAAAAUACACUGUACUAAUACAGCAAUGGAUGGUGGACUCAAAACCAGCGGUAUAUAAGUUUCUGCAUGUUCACUAUGCCAGGUACAUUUUGCAAAACUUACUAUCUAUUCCAAUAAUAUAUGUGAUUUUUUAUUGAUUUGGUUUUACUAUGUUGCAUGUCAUGUUCAAGGAACUAUACAGGUGUGGAAGGUGCUAAAGACAGUUUUCCUACAUUUACAAUCAAGAACAGACAUUAUCACCUACAGGCCACAGUUCAGUUCCUCUGAUAAAACCUGAACAUCAAGAAGCACAGCUGUGAUCGUAUCACACUAAUUUUUCUCCUUUGAAUUCCAGCAAAAGAGCCUUUCACUCACACUCACAGCAUCAUUACCCGGGUUUGGUAAAUGCAACCGACCUGCUUGCAUAGGUUUUUCUUUUCUUGUUGUAUCUGUUUUUGCCAUAGGACAUGAGUGCCAUAGGACAUGUGUGCCAUAGGACAUGAGUGCCAUAGGGCAUGAGUUCAUAAUAGAAUUUACUUGAUAAUUUUCAUUGUUGUUAGCUCUUCAACCCACUAUAAACCCCACGAAAGUAGACAAUCUCAUUAGAGAUGUUCUUAAUCAAAUACUUUAUCGAGAAGAAAAAACUAUGCAAACAAAGAUUAGAGUACAAACCCCAAAAACUAAACCUGCGGCUGCAAGCAUAAAAAACAAUGAGAGAAACAACCAAAGACUUUCUACUUUUUCCAAUAAAGCAUUCUUAAACGUUAUUUUUUUCCAACUGGCAAUAUCAAAAGAAAGAAGCAAUCCCAAUGGGAGAUCCUGUGAUGAACAUCUCUUAGAAAGAAAAGUUUGAUAACCAAGGAAUAAAAAACAUAACAAAAGGUCUUAACUAGAGCCUUAAGGUCAACACUGACUGCAAAUUUCUCCUCAUCCUCUUUAAGCACGAACACCACGGUUGAGACUCACCAUACGGCUUGAGCCAUCCAUUUGCAUACCUCUGUUUCCUGAACCAACUCUUCCUGCAUACCCUCCUCCUCGGUUCUGCCCUGACCACUGACCAUUUUGUCUUCCUCCACCAUAACCAGAUCUGCUACCUUGCCUUCCUUGUCCAUAAUUUGUCUUGUCUUGCCAAUAUCCACCACCACCUGAUGCUGCUCCAGCAUAGUCCUGAUUGUUGUCCCUUCUCCUUGAACUCAGAUCCAGACCACCUCCACCGGUUCUAGAUUCCAUUGCCCUUUCAUUGCUUUCUGCCAAAAUUGAGAGUUUCUCAGUUAACUGGAAAGCCAAUGACUGUAAUCUGCUGUGUUGCACUUCAUGAAAGACUAUGCAUUGAGUUGGCUGGUCCCAGCUUGCAUGAAGCUCCUCAUUAAUCAUCAUCUUGCUCACAAUGCUGUGGACCUGUGGCUCAGGGACGUCAAACAUCUUGGCCAGCUGAUCAAGACUUAAGGACUCGUAGGAGCUAGAGUAUGUGAAUAGGUAAGUCCUUAGAGCCUCUUCUUUGAUCCUAUCUUUCACCAUAUCGAGGAUACUAUCACGGUUCUUGAGCAGCCUCCAGACAUCAAGAGAGUUCAAAACUUCAAACGCCUUUUGGAAAUCCCCUUUGGUCAGGGCUCUGGUGGCUGCCAUGACGUGGUCACGGACAUUCUCAGGCGGUGCUGUGAAUGCUUGCCUUUCACUGAUCUCAAGCAGGCGACGGAAAUUCUUGCUAAUCACUCUGCGUUUGGCAUCAUGGGAGUUUGCAGCCAUGUUUGGGACUUCAAGUAGCAUGGCACAGAUGAGAUGAACUGCCUCCAGGAGCUCAAGGUUUAAGUGCAUGUGGUACGGCAUUUGUCUUCUCCUUUCCAUCCUUUCCUGGUAAAACCAAGAAAAGUUCAUAUCACAUAUAUAUACUGAACAAAUCAACAUGACCAUAAAUAUUUAUGCUGAAAUGGAGAAAAUGGACAGUGCGAAAAGGUAACAAAACGAAGAACCCCAAAAUGCAUCAGUCCUUGUAAUUAAAAUUAUAUGAUCAGAAAUAAGGUUUGAGUCAGAAUUCUAUGAUCAAAAGGAUUUAUUUCACCAUCUAUAUGUAUUAGAAGAUCUUAAAUCAGAAGAAGAAAAAAAAUGAUUACCUGCUCUGGGGUCUUUUCAUGGUAUCGGCUUUGCGAGACACCUUGGGCAAGCAACUCCCUCACUCUUUGACCAGAGUACAGCUCGGAAAGGCAGCUAUGGGACUCAGUGAUCAUUCCAACCCGGAAGGCGCAAAGACCAAGCUGCGCCAUGGUUCUAUUAAAAAGAAUCUGUGUUGAGAUGUCCAUGUGCUGGACGUUGUCUUGCAGAUGACUCAUCAACAAGAGGUCUCUAGCAGUCACAAAGUUGUCCAUUAACGCAUGGUGAUUAAUAUCACAUAGCAUUGCACGCGCUUUGGUCCGCUCAUCUCCAUUUCUGUAGAUAAGGGACACAAGAAUGUCCAUCAUAGCACGGCUGCUCUCUGGGAAGGUAGGCUUACGAGGAACAACCUCGGGAACAACGAUGAAUGAAGUAGGAGGUCCACUUUCCUCUUUGGCCUCCUCAGUUUCUUCUUCUUCUUCCACCAUUUCUGCCAAUUUCCUCAUAGCAUCAUAAACUUCCUGAGGCUUGUAAUAUAUUGACUCAACUCUUCUUAAGGCUACCUUUGCAGCAGCUUUAAAAUCACCCAUCCGCUCGAAAUAGUCCUGGAUGUUCUGAGCAAGGGCCAAGAACAUCGGCUCAUCCCGCAGUCUCUCAACAUACUCACGUGUGUGGGGAUCAAUGCAUUGCAAACUCUUGAAAAACUCAGUGUCAAUCCGCUCCAAGAAUGCAACCAAAUUUCCCCAGACCCGAAUUUUUCCAUCAUAAUCAGCAGGCUUUGAAGUUUCAUUCUCAUCAGGUUCAAUUGUGUCAUCCACAACAAUGUUAUUGUAUUUGACAAGAAUAUCCAGUAUGGUGAGCAUGUUAAGCACACAUUUCUUCCAGACAUUGAUAGGCAUGUGCCCGCUGAGACCUGGAUUCACAUCAAACUGUGCUGAAAUAACGCUAAACAAGAUUUCAAGCUUCUGCGCAGGAGUCUUGGCAAUCUUUGUCAAGUGCGUAAGCUGAUCAACUAGCUCAAAUCGAGCAGUGCCCUUUUUCCCACGAGCAGCCACAAUUUCCUUAAACUUCUUGUUGACCCAGUCCCAAGUAAUCUCUUUAGGAUCUUUGUUAAUCAGCUUCUCCAUAAGCUUAUCUUUUUUGCUCAGCAUCUUCUCCCAAGAAAGAUUAUCAGCAGGUUCAUCUAUCUCCUCUUCAGACUCAGGGUCAACGUUACCAUUGUCCUCAGAAUCAUCUUCAUCUUCCUCAUCUUCUUCAUCGUCCUCUUCAGGCUCUUUCUCAUCCUCGACUUCUGGAGACUCGCGAUAUUUGUUGAUAUCGUCUUCAUACUGCUUGUUGUUUUUCUUCAAUUUCUGUUUCAUUGAGUUCAAAGCCUUGGAAUUACUGGUGCUCAUCUUCUUCUUUGCUUCCUUAUUAGCCAGAGCUUCAUUCAAGAAAUCCUCCAACAUCACAAGCAUCUUGAUAUACAGGGUCGGAGGCUUCACAGCCUCAGUAAUCCUCAUAACCUUCUCAAGCUGUUUGUUGACCUUAUCGAAGUUUUCUUGGAGGCUGACCCAAUCAUUGAUCUUCACAGCAUUCUUCAUCUGCUCAACGGUGGAGGUCAUCUCCUCAAAUCGUUUAUCUUUAGCAGGCUUAACCACACGUUUGGUAUCAAGAUCUUCUUCAUCCUCACUACCACUUUGAAGGUAACGGUUAUUGAUGUCGUUAUUCUGAACCUCGGGAACCUCUUCGUCAAUUUCACUCUCAUCUUCACUUUCACUUCCACCCUAGGAACAUAACAAGAGAUCAUUAAGAAACUGAAGCAAGUAACGAAAGUUUACAAGAGACGUAUAUAAAACAAAAGGUCUGAUCAAGGAAACCUGAGCGAAAAAACGAGACGUCAUCUUCUUUAGCUGGAAAGGGAAGCAACAAGAACCUGAUACACCAAAUAGUAAGCAAUUUGAAUAGCGAAGCAGAUGAUAUAUACACAAGUGCAUCAAAUCCAUUCUAAUAACCUAUAAUAUUAGGAUACAAAUAUGUCUCAACCUAGAUUUGAAACGAAUCAAUCGUAUCACAAUAAACCAAACUCGAACCGAAAAAUUUGUUGAGCGGGUUGAGGAAUGAAGAAAUUACCUUGAUUGAGACGAUGGAGAUUUGCGAAGGCAGCUGCUUGAAGAAGAUGAUGAAUCUAAAAGAAAAUGUGGCGUAGCCGUCAAAGGCUUUUUGUUGCAGAUCGAGAUAAAAUAUAUAGAAUUAGGGUUUUCGUCAUUUACUCAUUUUUGAACCGGAUUCGAUUUUACUCUACCGAAGUGACUGAUUCUAUUAAAUUAUACAAACCGAAUUGGUCGAACCAGGACUAAUUGGCGUAGUGAUGGUUGAAUUAAUUGAGAAAAUAACCGGUUCUAUCCUUUUUGAUCAUCAUAACUUGUUUGCAGUUGCAGGUGGUGAUCAUAAAAUAUUUAACGUUUUCGAUUAUUCAUUUAUUACAAGAUUUUUUUCUAUAUCGUUCUUACAGAAAUCAUACAAAUGGAAUCAGCAAACAUUUUGGCUGAACCAAUAAAACGCAGACCGAAACCGAAUCACUCGACCAAAUUCAGAGAGUGAUCGAUCAUUAACUAAGCUUCGGUGCUUCGAAGGUUUCCACAAUUUCCAGACUUGAUGCUAAGUAACAUUUUGAAUGUGUUUUAGGAUGUAACCUUCUCCACAACAUCAGUUUCAUUGAUUUUUAUCUCUCAGGCUGUCUUUACAUCAGUCGAAGUAUCUUUACCCUUCCGGAGCCAUAAGUUGACAAGAAUUGAAUCAAUCAUGAUCUACACAGUCCAGAAUUAUAUGUCAAUAGUAAUAAAAAGUAUGCAAACGAAUAUUAUAUUAUAAUACAACUUCUAACCUGGUUCAGGUGUGCAGCUACACAAGGAAGAACCAAGAGCCCUGUCUCACCAAAUGCACCUCCCAAUUGCUCCACUACCGCCACCAUUACCGGUAGUGUUUUCUAUGCCACGAGAAAAGACCUCCCAAAUUAAGAGAUCAAAUCGGCGCUAAAGGCAAACUUUGUUAUUUACCUGACUUGAAACGAGCAAGACUGCAGUGCCAUUUUCCUUUGAGUUCUUGCUACCACCUGAAACACCUGAGAGGAUGCCGAUCGAAACAGCAUUGAAUGCUAAUAGAGAAAGAUGCAGCAAUCUGUGGGAAACGUAAGAAUCAUCUUUCAAUACAUGUUUCCAUGUGCUUCUUCACUUGGUAUACUUUCCAUAUGUAAAAGAAGAGAAAUGCAUACAUUCCAAUGCCAACGGCAGCAAGAAAAACCUUAGGCUUAACGGAUAACAGCAGUGAUCUUGACCUGCUAACUUGGAUCCAUGGUACCUUAAAAUGUUAUCAUGAGAUAAACAUAAUACUAAGUUCCCCAUAAAACCAGAUAAACGCAUUAACAAAGUGAAGCCAUUUGAGGAGCUAAAUUGGUUCUACUUUAGAAGUCAUAAACAUGAACAAAAUCCGGUUUCUGCUAUUUGAUUGAUAAGCUUUUGAAUAGUCCAAAAACUCGUGGAAAAUUGUACUCUUUCAGAAUAAAAUCUUAACUAUAGACAUAAAAUCUUAACUAUAGACAUAAAAAACAACAUUAAGAUUCCUGCAACAAAGUAAAACUCCAAGCCUACCCUGUACGACUUCAGAAUUUUUUUUAAAUAGUUUAGAAACUAUGGAAGACUGACAUUUCAUGUCUUACCAUACUGAGGCAGAUUGCGUUGAUCUUUGAAAAUAGAUUACGGUUAUUGUCAACAAAGUUUGCAAACCCUGUAUCAAACAUUGCCACAAGAGAUUCUAUAUAGUCAGAAAAUUGGCAGCAAUUAGUAGACAGAGGAUAGAACUUCAUGCUGCAACUAUAAGGCGUCUGCUAAAACUAUUUAGAUGGUUUAUGUUAUACCAUGCAGGGUAUCACACUUGAAAAGAUAAGAGAUGAUAACCAUAAUAUUAUUGUAUGCAAUUACUUUCACCAGAAAGAGAAAACACAAUAAACGAUACUUACCUUUGAAUGAUUCCCGAAUAACCUAUAACAGAUAAAAUCCAAAUAUGUCAAAGCCCGAGUCUGCAAUAUGUUAAGUGAUAGAACUUCAUGCUGCAAUGACUGUUUGUGUAAUGCUCUAGAACCAAAAUUGAAUGUAGCCAUCACAUCAGAGAUGUUCUUAAUGAAGCAUUAUUCAUCUACUUUAUCGAGAAGAUUAAAACUAAGUAGAAAAGAAUAAAGAGUAUUAGACCUCACAUAAAACAGACCUGAAAGCACAUUAGAAACUAUGUAAAUAAACAACCAAAGAUUUCUUCUUUUCCAUAUGAGUGACGCAUUCCUGUAGGUUUUUUCUAAUAAAGCAUUCCUAUAGGUCAUUCCAACAAUAGCCAGUGAACAUAACGCUUUCACAAUUGAACCAUAUAGCCAAAUAUUACAUGGAUUCAUCAUUGCAAGAAGUAGGUCAAGCAGAAAGAUUGUCUCACCUUGCCAAUGAUUAAAGGAAUUAACAGAGUAACUACAAGACUUCUGAACAAUUGCUCAGUUGGAAAAGAAACACCUACUCCCCCAGCUAUGUAUCUCGAUACCCAAAAUGGAAUCUGAUAAGAGGUCAACCAUGUUAACUUCAGUGACAGAAGAUACAAUGCUCAUUCCAUUUUUUACAGAAGACUUUUAAUCCUAAUCGUAAUUCAAGAUCAUAUGCUAUUUUGAAACGAUCUGAUAUAGACCAGGAAACAAUCUGACUAGAAAUAUAAUUGAUUCUGCAUGAUCAUCUUAUAGUUUCGAAUGGGGAACACUAAUAAUAUGCAAGAGGGUGACUUACACUUAAAAUUCCUAAUAAGUUUGAUGCCACAGUCACCGCAAGCGCAAGAGCAGCAUUGCCACCAGCAAGCUAAAUUGGCAAUUUUGAUAAGUCAGUGGAGAAUGCAAGAAAAACAGUUAUGCACAAAAUAUUGUUAAGACAUAUAUCAAAUGGAGUACGUGAGUAAGGGCAACACCACUUGAUAAGGUGGUUGGCAUACAGCAAAAUAUAGCCAGCCCUGUAGAUAGCAUGAGGACAAAAACUAGUCAAGUUUCGUUUGUAUUAUGCAAUUAAUAUGCAUUUCCUGCCCGUCACUCUUAAAUCUAAAUGGGAUAAACGCAAUGAGAUUUAGCAAGAAUAAAAGAAAACAUGAAGGUGAAACUGUUGAAUAUAAGAUCAAAAAGGCAAUGAGAUUAAGCAGUGAGCCACUUGAUCACCUAUGUUUGCAAACCAUAUUAUAAAUAAGUUUGUAAGUAUAUUAAUUAUUGAACCGGUGACAGUGUCACUAAAAUUACAGAUGCACUGUAAAUUAAUGGUAGUCAAUAAAAUAUAAACUGUAACAAGGUAAGAAAAGAACAUGAUCUAUUCAAGAAAGAGACAGAGUAACCUGUAACAAGUUCCGGGGGUUGAAGUUGGAACAGCAUAAUUAGCCGUGAGAAGGAUGGAGUGAGCAACAAAAUAGAGAUCUGAAAAAGAAAAAAAAAAAGAAAAAAAGAGAAUAGUUUGGGAUUAAGUAUGCAGUAUAACUAACAGGAGUUAUAAAGGAAAGGCAUUACCCAACAGGUUGUUAUCAAACAUGACUGACACUGAAUGGAAAGUACAUUGGGGCAAAAGGGUUUCUUUUCAUUUCACUGUCUUAGUAGUUUUGUAAAUGCAGAAAUUAAUCUUUCAUGAACUUAAAGAAUAUAGAGAUCGAAACUAAAGAGAAGGGGAACCGUUCAGAGUACGUAAAAACCAGUGAAGAACAUACUAGCCCGAAGACUCCAAGAGGCCAUCCUUUAACAGCAGCACCAAUCGCUUCAGUACGUAAAGUCAAUCCUGUACCACAUUACAUAGAAAGAGUACACAAUGGAUAAGCUAUUCGACGGAAACAAAGUGAUUACUUCCAUCACCCUUUAUCAUAUAAAGAACAACAACAAAGCAAUUGUACACUUAUGCUAUUAGCAUGACAGAAUCACCUGAUAUAAUAAAUAUUCCGCAUGUGCUGAUCUUAGUGAAAGAGUAUUUGUCUGCAAGACAGCCUAGAGUUGGAUUUGCAAAGCCCAGCCCCACUCCACUAACAAGAGCUGCAAACAAAUAAACCAACAAAGCACAAACAUCCAACUGAAGUGUCAAAAGUAACAAAGUGAGGCAUAAGAGUACAUAGAUGAAUUCGAAAUGACGUAUCUAUGCUUCAAUUCUAUUUAUCAUUACGGCUAUGGCUACGUCCACAGAGGUCACUUGAACUAAUCUUCGUUGAAAAUUAAAGUGAUAAGUAAUCUUCAUUGAAAAUUGAAUUUUGAUGCAGUCAAUCUGCAUAUCAGACUUUGAAAGAUCUAACCAUUGAUUUUACAAAUUGAGAAAAAUGGCAAGAGCAAUGUGUAAUAUUACCUAGAGGCAAGAAAUUAUCUGAAGCAAAAGUCAGCAGUUCCUUCCCAAAAUGUAAUCUUUUAGCUGAAGGUGAAAUGCCUCCAUCACCACCAAGCUGUGAACAAAAACAAACAUCUCCAACGAGUCAAACAAAGUUCGAUCAUUUACAUCACUUCGAUUCAUUCUCUAAAUAAACUUGGAAUCGCAACAAGGACACUAAAACCAUAGCGCACAUAAAAUCGAAGGGACAGCGACAGAGACCUUGUCGGACGGUUGGCAAGCUCUAAUGGAUCUGGGAAUCCAUCGUCUGCCACAGGGCUCUCGAUAGCGGCGGAAGACGACGGAGCGGGUCCCAAGAGGCGUUGGUUCCCGGAGACAUAAAAAGGGGUUUUGGGUUGAAGUCAGGAUACUAGCUAUCGCCAUGAGAGUAGUCUUCAGAAUUAGAAUCAAAGGUGAACAGAAGAAUGAAUAAUUAAAAAAAAAAAAUCCAAUGCAUUACUCAGCUCUCAAUAAUCUCUCAGAUCAACACUGUAAACAACUCCGGCUUAUAGGAACCACUUUCCACUACCACUAGCUAGUGGCUACUCUUAUUUGUUUAUUUAUUUAUUCAUAAUUCAAAUUGUAUAAUUUAUUUUCAAUUUCAACCAAUCAUGAGUUUCAGAGUUUGUCUUUCAUAUCAAAUAAUGAUUAAAAACAAUAUUCCCAAUUCUUGGCUCUAUUGAGUCUAAUAAGAUUGCUAUUGACAAAAAAAAAACAAAACAAAAAAAAACUCUAGUCGUCUGAGUAAUUGAGAGCGAGACUCCAGUAGUGUGGAACACCAGCAUCCGUGAAAACUUUCUUUGCAGCAGAUUCAAAUGAGCACUCUUGUACAUUAAACUUAUGAAAACUCGGUUUCUCAACACUUCCUUGCCAAAUCAACCGACACUUGUUUCCACCAUUCUCCUCUUCUUCUUCUUCUUCCUUCUUCUCUGUCUUUUCCCAGUUUAUUCGCUUCAGCAUCAGCUUCUUAUAUGUCUUUAUUGAUUUGCUAUUACCUUCAACCACAACAACACUAAAUCCAUCCGUCAUCACACUGCACCCUGUUAAUAUGUUCUGUCUUGCAUUCAUCUCCACUUUGAAUCUUGUUUCGGGAUGCGACAACUUCUUGUUGAUCUUGUACACUGACACAAUCGUCUCAACUGUUGUUGGAUCACCAUAAAGCUUCCUUUUUUUCUUCUCACGUUUCUCUGCAGGAGUUAGCUUCCUCGCAGUGUUCCUAUCCCUGUGCGCCUGUUCACGCUCGGCAGCUGCUGUGCGGAUCUCUUUCUCAAGCUUGGUUGGGUCUUGGGUUGCUUCAGACGCAAGAACCUUCAUUAGGUUGCUCAAUUUCACCUUUGGUUUUGGUGGUUCAAGCAAACCUAGUCUAAUCAUCUUUUGUUUCUCCUUUUCUUUUGCCACACGCCUCAAGCGUCUCAGUUUCUUCUGUUCCUUCUUUGUCAGUUUAAGCAGCUGGGGUGGUGGAGACGCUGAUUCUGCAAGUGGCUCUAGGGGGAAUUGAUGCUCUACGUUACCAAUAAUUUUUUUUAUCUUGAGAUGGCUUUCAUUAAUGGUGUCAUUGAUGAGGAUAUUUGGAUCCGACAAUAAGUCAGUAAUGGUGUCAUUGGUGAGGAUUUCUGCAUCCCACCACUCAACAUCUGGGAUUUGCUCCUUGAGCUUCUCUUUUCUUGCGACACUUUCAGAUGAUUCUGUCAAAUCGGGAUUCAUAUCAUCAUCCUUUGCCUUUUUCGGAUGCCCUUGCUUCACCUUGAAACUCAUACGUUUAGGUCUCAAAAUCUUGUUUUUCUCAAUACCAAUCCUUUGAUCAUAAUGGUGCAAGUUCUCUUGUGGAUCUACUUCCAGUUGAGGUUUAAGAAUCCGAAAAGCAUCUUUCUUUUGUUUGUUGAUGUUAACUUUCAAUGUAAUAAUACUGCUUGGUUUAGUCACACUAACCACGUGUCCGUGUUCAUCUAUCUCUCUUCCAAGAGCAUCCAAACGUAGAACAUGAACAUGGGCCUUGGUCGGUUUAUGUGCAACAGCUGUCUCUGUGGGAGCAAAUCCCAUAGGAGCUGCCUGCUCCUGAGCUCGCUUAACAGCUUCGGAGGUUAUACUACUACAAGUUUCCACCGCGAUAGAAACAGAACUCUCAGUGACUUGUGCGGCCACAUCUUCAAACCUGGUCAUCCUCCUCCUCUCAGUACCACAAACACUUGAUAUCCUGUGCGAGACGGUUUAGGGGAAUCAGGAAACGAACGGGAACAACACACAAAGUUAUUAAUUAUUAUAAUAUAGGUUUUAGGACUCUAGCUUAAGAAAAUAACGCUUUGAACUUCUCAAAACCUUAUUGGAUAUCUCUAUUUAUAUGAAAACAUCAUUCACAAUUCUGUUAAAAAACACUUAUGUUUAGAUAACGCAUAAAUAUAUUCAAUCUUUUAUCUCUUUGAUAAUUAUGAUUCGGUUAGGAUUAGCAUAGUUUCCAACUCAAGCUAUCUUCGAGCUUUAUGUCCAUAUUCUUUAUAUACCACAUCAAUAGUUUAUCCUAGGUCAACCAGGAAUUGGAGUUUUUUACGCAGGAGAAUAUAUCAAAAUCUCAUAAACAUUUUAUUUAAGGGAGAUUUGCACAACAAACCUUUUUAUGAUACCAUUUUCUACAAGUACCCUCUCUAUGUGUCCAUUUUCAAAAAUACCCUCUUCAAUAUACAAAAUGACUAAAUUACCCUCCUUUAUUAUUACCCAUGAUGAAGAAAAGAAUAUUCUUUCCAACAAAAAGAAUAUUCCUUCCGAAAAAUUUCCCGCCAAAUUUUCCCGCCAAAAAUUUUCGGCAAAAAUUUUCCCGCCAAAAAAUUCCGACAAAAAAAUUUUCCCGCCAAAAAAAUUUUCCGACAAAAAUUUUUCCGCAAUUCCUUAAAAAAACCUUGUAAAUAUUUAUAAAUCCUUAAAAAAAUCCUUUAAAAACCCUUGUAAAUCUUUUAAAAGUCAUCCAAAACCUUUCAAAAUUUGAGUAAAUCUUUUAAAACCAUUGUAAAUCAUUUUAUAACAUUUAUAAACACUUGUAAAUCCCUUUAACCCCCUUAUAACCGUGAUAAAUCAGUUAAUAAAAACUUUUGUAAACUUCUAAAACCCUUUAAAAACCCUUGUAAAUCCUUAAAAACCAUUUUAAAGAACUUGUAAUACCUUUAAAAACUUUUGUAAACCCUUCAAAAACUUUUGUAAACUUCUAAAACCCUUUAAAACUUCUUAUAAAUCCUUUAAAACUAUUUUUAAAUCUUUGUGUGCCUUUAAAUACACUUUUAAAUCUUUUUAAAAACACUUGUAAAUCCUUUUAAAAAACUUUUAAAAAUCCUUGUAAAUUUUUAAAAUCCUUGUAAAUCCUUUUAAAACUGUUAUAAACUUAUAAAAACUUUUAAAAACCAUUGUAAAUCAUUUAAAAACCAUUUAAAAACCUUUGUAGGCUUCUAAAACCCUUUAAAAACCAUUUCAAAUCUUUUAAAAACCAUUUAAAAGCUCUUGUAAAUCCCUUUAAAAACCCUUGUAAACCCUUUAAAAGACCCUUUAAAAAAUCUUGUAAACCCUUUAAAACAAUUUGGCGGGAAAAUUUGAAAAAAUAUUUUUUUUUGCGGGAAAUUUUUUGCGGAAUUUUUUAUGGCGGGAAAAUUUUCUCGGGAAAUUUUUUUGGCGGGAAAAUUUUAUCGGAAAUUUUUUUGGCGGGAAAUUUUUUCUCGGAAAAUUUUUUGGCGGGAAAAUUUUGGCGGGAAAUUUUUGGGGGGAAAAUUUUUGGAUGGAAUAUUCCUUCCUUUGGGAAAGAAUAUUCUUUCAAAUAUGGGUAAAAUGACAAUUAAAAUAUAAGAGAGGUCAAAAAUGAAAAUGUUAAAAAAGAGGGUAUUUUUAAAAGAGGGUAUCAUAAAAAGGUUAUUGGUAUCAAUUUCUCUUUAUUUAAUUAUACGAGAAUCAAUAAUUAUUGACCCCUUAAAAUCAAGACACUUUUCGAGAAUCACUCCGACAAAGGUCUAUGAGUUAUGAUUACCUGAUCUCCUCUUUAGGUUCCUAUUCCUAAUAAGGCAAGUGUUUCAUAACAAACGGUUUAUCAAAUAUACAUGCUAAAUAAACGUUUUGAUAUAUUACAUAAAUAAAAAUUUGGUAAUUAUCUAAAAAUUGAUAUAUAUAUAUAUAUAUAUAUAUGGUUAUAUUAAUAAUAAUUUAAUUAUAUUUAUGCUUCUUCUGUUUAUUUCGCUUAUGCUUUCUUUUUUAAAAAUUUUUACUUAAUUAUAAUUUAAAAGCUUUUCUAAACAGUACAAAAGUCAUAUGUCUGAAGUGAAAUAUUUUUAUUUGAUAUUUUUGUAAAAUUUAACUUGAUUUUUAAUUCAAAUUACUUUUACCUAAUGAUAAAAAGUAGUUUGAGUUACCAAUAUUCAUAAUUAAGGUGAGUUUUAUUUAUUUUUAAUGUUUACAAUAUACAAAAAAAAAUUUGCAUUAAUUUUACAAUUGCUUACUAUAUUGUGUAUGUGCUAAUUUUGUAUUUUUAUUUGAUCAUAUUCAGUUCCAUAUUUUUCAAAUACAUUUUUUAUUUACUUUUAAUGUUUAUAAUGUACACAAGAUUUGUUUCGAAAUAAUUUUGCCAUUGCAUAUGAUUUUUGUGCACUAAUUUUGUAUUAUUUUGUUAUAAAAACAAAUAUCAUACAUUAUUUUUAAAUGAUUUGUUUGUGCGCUAAAUUUUAAAUUGUUUUCAAAACAUACAUUAACAAAAAAAUAAAACUAGAUAUAAAUUAAUGUAAUUUUUAAUCUAUAUAUGAAAUUACUACUUCAUACAUAACUCUUGCAUUGCGUAAACAACUUUCUAGUUUUCUAUAUAUAUAUAUUCCACAUCUAACUGUGUAUCUUAAGUGAAUUUAAUUAGAUUGUUUAAGCAAUAAUUAUUUUUAAAUAAUGUGUUCAUCCCACAAAGGCACAAAUUAUGUAUCCAAAAAUAACAAAUAGCUUCUAUAAAAAUGUGUUCAAGUAAUCAUGUGCAUUAUUUUCCUCUUUAUCUUUCCUCUUACUCAUCGGUUCCUUGUCCUUACCUCCUUGGUGAGACCUCUCAUGAUGCUUAUUAGUCCUAUCUCUCUCAUGUCGUCGAGGUUCACGAUCGUCCUAGAUGCUCAUGCUCUCCUUAAUCUUAUUCAUGACGAGACGGUUUAGGGAAAUUGUGAAACGCACAUGAAAGUAACUAUAUUAUUAUUUAUAUCAUCUGUAUAUCCUAACUCCACCAGGAGUUGGAAAUCGUAAGUUAUUCUAAUUUUUCUUUUAUGUUUGUAAGACUUAGGCCGUGGAAUGAGAUUUUAAACUCGAUUUUAGCUUUUAUUUUUUGGAUUUUAGUUUUUUCGUUUUUGUUAUAAAAAAAAGUAAAAAAUGAAUAAAAUAUAAAAAUUGAAAAUGAAAGAAAAUACACUCAUGUUGAAAGAAACCAUCAAAAGGGGUUUUUGAUUUUUAUUUGAAAAUGAGUAAAAUCUCAUAAAAAGUAAAUUUUCUAUUAUUUUUUUAUAGGAAAACCAAUUUUAUAGAAUCUUGAAUGACAACAAAUUAGAUUUUUAGAAAAGCUAAAACCAAAAUCUACCUAAAAACUAGUAACCAUUCAAGGCCACAUCACAUAUUAUACGGUGCAGAUGAACUAUUCACCGAUUCAAUAUUGCAGCCCAUGUCCGGUAUAUAGACACUAUAUAGUGGACUUAUAAUUAGAUUCGUUUAAGCAAAAAAUAGUUUUCAAAAUCUGUUCAUCCCACAUUUUAUGGAUCCAAAAAUAACAAAUUGAAUUUGAAGGCUUUUGAUAGUGGAAACUUUCUAGUGUUUGUAGGCUCGCAAGUCUAUGAACUUGUGGGUUACUUGCUUCUUACUUACAUAGCUUAUGGUAAAUGAUGCUUUGCUUCGAUGGAACUUUUUGCAGAUUUCAGGGCCAGUAGAGGUUCUAAACAGUCACCCAAAACGGGAUGAAGAAACUUCAAUUACAGAUACUAGCGUAUUAGUCGCAAAAAGUCGAAAGUUGAACAUAUCAUAUGUAGUAAUCUUAGGUACACGCAAAAAGUUUGUCUAAAUCAAUGCUUACCAAACCAAAACCAAAAUAACCGAGGAAAAGCCAAGAACACAAAGCUAAUCUUGAAUAUACUCCAGCUUUUGAUUGCUCGAAUUAGUAAACUAUUUUUCUGGUCGUCUGCGAUAUUAUUAGGCUACACGGCCUGUUUAGAUUCUAACCCUUUUAACAUAAUUUUUAUACCCGUUUGGGCCUGAAGCCCGUUUAGGCCUCAACAAGCACAGUGUGAUAAUCAAACACAAGUCAUGUAAAUAGUUGAUACUAAAAUAAUUUUAACAGAAGAAAAGAGGAUAUGGUUCAAUAAUUAGCCAGAAAGUUAGAAACAAGAAGCACAAAACACAUCAGCAAAACAAGACUAGUUGAAUCUCUUUCUUCUCCAACGAAUCCGCUUUGUGUCUUGCUUCAGAAACCCAGGAAGCCUGACAAAACUCGGAACGAAGCUGCAUUGAAAAGAAAAAGCAGUUCCCGCGAUAUGUUCUUCUUCAAUUUUCUCAAACUUGUUCUCGCCGAUGACUCUGUAAAUGUUAACAGCAUCAACGAAUCCAUUGAAUUCAACAGAAGUUGCGACGAGCCUACAGUUUUUGUCAACAAAAAAAGAUGUUGAAAUACGACUUGAAGGUGGAUGUAAUAGAGGAGAAUGCGGUAUAGCCACGACCAUCAAUCUGCUCCAAGGACGUAAGAGCCAAUACUUAACCCAUAUGCAAAUGGUCCUUGUUUCAUGACAUUGCUCUAACACGGAAAGCCGGUCUCCUUUAUAAGUCGCGAGUGCAAUAGGAUUCCGUUCAUCGUACCUGAAGGGUAGCUGAUCUAUCGGUUGGAAUAUUUCUUUGGAAAAAUCAAAGCUUUGCAGGAAAGCUGUGUGAUCUUCACGAAGAGCAAUACAAUAAGGAGUUCCUCUCAAAGAGAGUAUCGCCAGUGGUAUUCUAAGGAACCAAUCAAAAGGACUGAUCAUAUCUACACACUUCCAUGUCUUAGAUGAGAGUUGGCAGACCUCAACUCUUGGAGGUCUGUUUCUUGAAUUACUAGCACAUCGAAACCGUAAGAUCCUGUAAUCACAAGGGCUGAGGUAUCCAAGGCUGUACGCAUCAUCAUAUGCGUGAAAGUCGCUGCCGCAUUUGACCCAACACAUUUCUUUCAGUAACGGGUUCCAAACCAAAAGCUUGUUGUCCAUGACACACAACAACAGACCGUUGCAGUGCACAACCUUGUACACCUUAAUGAUUCGCGUUGGAUGAACUCUUCCAAGGCUAAGGUUUUCGGAAGGAGUAAGUACCUGCUCCUCAGUGCUCACGGAAGAAAGACAUCCAUCGUGGGAGAUGAUAAACCGAUGAUCACGGCUAUCGCCGAUGUGCGUACGGGACAAGUUCUUCAGAAUGAGACUCUGGUCCAAGAUCAUACUAUUCCAAAGCUUGCAUACAGAUCUCCACUUCGCAAGAAUUCUAAAUGUAACUCUGGAGAUGAUUUCCUCUUCCAACUCAGAUGGAAGCCUCAAAGUCAUCGUCGUGCGUGACCUAGUUGUCGAGAGAGAGAGAGAUAAUUUAUAUAUAAAUAAAUAGAAAUUGGAGCACCAUGGUAAAAUUGAAACUUUUAGAUAUGGUAAAAUCAUUAAUGGAAUCUUGACUAAAAAAAAUUAAUAAUACUAGUGAUAGUUUCCUCUUCUAUAUAGUUUCCAAAAAAGUAAUAACAGACUGAUUUUGAGUGGUUCAACCGUUCAAGUUAGAUUUCGGAUAUAAAAUAAAAUAAAAAGAUUUCCGAAGUUUUUAUGAAAAGUCUAGAACCCUUAAAUUACUUCUCUUACGUAAAUUAAAAGAGAAAAUAUAGUUAUAGAUAGCUUUUCUUUCACAAUCUAUAAAUAUAUUAAGACCUUUAAUCUAUAGGAAAUAAUUAUUUCAAAAGAAGAAUGGUAUACUAAGCUCCAAAAAAAAAAAUCUGAAAGCUAAAAUACGAUUUUAAAUUUUAGCCAAAACCAAAAACCCAGAAACGAAAGUUCAAAGACUUAAAAAUAAUAAACUAGAAGCUACAAAAGUUAUAAUAAAAAACUAAAAGAAACGAAAAAGUAAAAAAAAAAACACAAUAAACCAAAAGUGCUACAAAAUCAUAAGAAAACUGUAACAAUUAGAAAAGACAUAAUGAAAAAGCAAAAUAAAAGUUUAGGAACAACCUCGUCGAAAUAGGAUGCACACAAGUCACAACUGAUCUCUCCUUCCCCACUGGCUUCAAUCGAUCUUUUUAGUUUUUAAUUUAAGAUAAAUAGGGUUUUCAGAGAGAUUUUAUACGAAACAAAUACCCAUUGGGCCCGUAACACCCAGCCCAUCUAAAACUUUGCUUAUUUCCGUUAUCUACGAGAAAGAGAAGAGAACUACUAAUAAAUAAAUAAAAAACACACAAACAAAUGUAGAUGUGUUAAACGGGCCGCUCUGCGUCUAUAUACUGUAGACUGUCUGCAACGGGUGCAAAAAAACGAUGUCUUCUGUCUCACUAAACCCGCCUUUAGCAAGCUGAAUAGCUGAUUCGUAAACCUAAAUAACAUUAUAUAUUCUAAAAUAAAUUAAUAAUUGAUAAUUUUAUAAAUUAAUAUUAGUGUUUAAUUUGAACCAAUUCACCGACUCAAUAAUGCAGCCCAUGUCCGGUGACCGGUAUACAUACACUAUAUAGUGGACUUAUAAUUAGAUUCUUUUAAGCAAAAAUUAUUUUUUUAAAAUCUGUUCAUCCACACAUUUCAUGGAUCCAAAAAAUACAUGUAGAAUUUGAAUCUUCUAUAAGAGGGAUAUAUUCAAAAUUUAAUUCUAAGAGAUAUGAGUUUUAUUAAGUUUUUAAAUGAUUUUGAUGAUUUUAGGGAAGUUCAUAUGACUUUUGUAAAAUCCUUUCAAAUCUCACUACAAACCAUGAGAUUUGGAUUUAUGUAUUUUUAACUAAAGGAAAUUCUCUAAAAUACUAUGAAAUCCUUCAAAAUCAUUAAAAAUCAAAUCCACAAAUUUUUUUUUGUGUAACAGUGGAUUUUAAGGUGGAUUUUGAAAUCAUUAGUUCAAUAACAGUGAAUUUAAUGAAACUUUUUAAAAUCUAUGUUUGAAUAAUACUAGAUUUAUAAGUUUUACACAAAUCUAUAAAAAUUCUACUUUGAAUACACUCCCUAAACGUGUUCAAUGAAUCAUGUGCACAAUUAAGGGUCGGUUAUCUUGAGUAAUCCUCUUACCUUGUUAACUGGCAUAAGCUUUUUCUUAAGAAAUAUAAUAAUUUGUGCUAAAUAUCACCCAUUUAUAGUUGGAGAUAUUUUGAGAAGUAGGUCAACUGAAUGCGUCAAUAAGAUUGCUUACUUACACCUCAAGCUUGUGAAUUUACAAAAAGAAAGUCGUAAAAUCGAAUGGAAUCUGAUUACGACAAGGCACCUACAUACUUUUUACAUAAACAAAACACAUCUAUUAUAUAAAAUUAGCUUUCUAACCAAUAACAAACAGCCACGUAUGAUUCCCCUUGUUCGAUCUGCUCC
rnacentral:lncRNA from 1 species